CUCCGGAAUCUUGCUAUUUAGGAGUAUUAAACGUAGAUUACUGACAAAACCCAUUCCAUAACCCCUAGGCUAUUUUGCGAGAUGAAUCUAACGAGGUAUAUUAAUACAUGAUUUGCUACAGUGAUGCUACAGUAAUCAUCCGCUAAUCAUGGAUUAAUAUACAUCAUUAGAUUCGUCUCGCAAAAUAGCCUAGAAGUCAUGGAAUCGAUUUUGUCGAUAAUCUACGUUUAAUACUUCUAAAUAGCAAAAUUCUAUAGGGCUAUUUAAUAGCCCGGAGGAUCCAAACAAGGCCAAUUUUAAUCUGGUUUGCAACAAUUGCAUCGUGUCCUUUUGUUUUAAAAAAAUGUUGCGGCAAAGUCAAACUGAACAAAUUAAUAGUACAGAACAGAGGACGCCUAUCUAUCUAGCCCACACAAUUAAUUACAAAGUAUAUACUACUCGUAAGCACACGGAGUAUUAGUAUUAUGCAGGGGAGGUAAGUAGUUCCUUUGCUAGGAGACACAUCUGCUUACUCUGUACUCUCUUUUCACAUGAGCGAAAACCUUGUCUGUUUUUUUUUUUUUUGAACGGAAAAAACAGCACAGCAGUGCUUUUUCAUUGAAUAUAGAAGAAGAAAAUACAACCCCUAGGGGUAAAACAAAAAGAUCUUUAGACUAUACACUAUACAGAGUGCGGGAUGAGAUCGCGCAAUCUUUUAGCCCCAGCUAAAGCCCACAAGCUGGCCUCCUCUUUGAUUUUUGCUAGGAGAACACCUGUUGCCAUCUCUUUGUGAUCAAAGAUUCGCCGGUUUCGCUCCUUCCAAAUUUCCCAAACUACUAGCAGGAUAAGGGACCGAAGGCCCUUCUUUGGAAUGCCGGGUGUAUUAGCUAGGCUCUCCCACCACUGAUGGACUGACCGGGCUUCCUCCCAUUGGGCCGGUUCGAACUGCUGAUAUCCCGCCCAUGUAGCAACGAGGCGCCAGAUUCUCUUCGUGUAUCUACACAUGGCGACGAGGUGCAAGGCUGUCUCGGUGUCACAACGACAUAGGGGGCAAUGUCCGUUAUUCCGCCAACCCCUUGUCGCGAGUCGGUCCGACGUCCAGACUCUAUUUUGAAUGAUGAGCCAGGCAUGAAAUUUACAUUUCCCUGGCGCCCAAACUUUCCAGAUUAGGGAGUUGAAGUUUGUGUUUGGCGCCCCCAAACAUUGGGCAUGAUAAGCCGAGGAAGCUGUAUAGUGGCCGCUGCUUGUGAAUUUCCAAACAAUCUGAUCCGGCUCCUCGCUGUCUAAGUGCACAUUCCGUACCGCCUCCCACAGGCGGACUAGCUGAUCGAGAAGGUUGAUUGUGAUAGAUGAACCCGCAUCGAGGGUCAGGUCAUGCACCCAGGAGUCGUCUUCUUUCCCUUGCCGUAGGGAUUUCUUCCUAUUUUUGGAGAUCUCAUAGACCAACGGCAUUAGGUCUUUUGGUCUUUGGCCGUUAAUCCAUGCGGAGUCCCAGAAGCGCGUCGUAUUUCCAUCGCCCACAGUUAUCUUUGUUGAGGCGGCGAAGAGGUCCCUAUCCACACCAUCACAAGGCGUUUCCAAACCCACCCAAGGCUUGCUUGGAUCUCUCCAUUCGUUCCACAACCAUCGCAAUCUCAGCGCUCUUGUGAACUUGUCCAAGCUUAGGACACCAAGGCCCCCCUGGCUGGUCGGCAAGCAUGUCUUUGCCCAGUUGACCUUGCAUUUCCCCCCGGUGAUAUCCCCCUGACGGAGCUCGUGGCUCCUCACCGGGAGACCGCGCAGGCCCCCCUUUGCCAGUUCGGCCGGGGGCUUAGGGUGAAAUCUCAAGCUCUCGCUCUCUCUGUAUGUGGAAAUAUCGUAUGCCAGCCAGAAAACACGAGACACCGACGAUCUAUACAGGUUCGGGCCGCUGAGAAGCGUAAUACCCUACUCCUGUGUUUUGGUGGAUCUGUGUAUGAGUGAGCUACAAAUGUCAGCUGACUUCUCCCCCGUUCUAAGCUCAUAAUCUGGGAAAGAAUCAACCAACCCCCUUUCUAUGGGCAAGGUCCUCCUUUUAUACUUCAAGGGGAUACCACAUGCACCCUUCUCUUUCCAAACUGGACUGUUCUUUUUCUCUUGAAUGGGCGGAGAUCAGCACGGUUGCUGUCCGAAUGACGCUCCGAUGGGACAGCCCACACCUACCUCCACUUCCGCCGGGGGUGAGCGCAUCGUGGGAACAUGGCUGUGCGCUGACGAUAUGGUCAGUGUCAGACCGGUCACAAAUCGGUCAUUCUUGUCCACCGCGUGUAAUCUUGGCAACGUGCAUGUUUGCCCUUCUUCACACAACAUCUUGCUUGUAAUGGUUAGGAUGAAGCCUGGCAUAUAUCGAUCGGGGCUAACGUGUCAUCUCUAAGAGAUAACACGCUUAACUCCGGCUUGAGACGAGUGCCUAGGGGCUUUCGUCUUGACGGGAUGGGGCAAGGCGUGCGCCAGACCGCCAGUCGCCACCUAACCCGUGAUCUGACCGGUCUGUGACUGGUCACAGACCGGAUAAAGGAACGCGCCGUACUGCACUGCGUACAGCGUGACACGCCUGACCAGACUGCAUUAAAUGCUGUUAGGUGAGCACAGCUGUGCUCACUUAUCCCAUAUAUGUGGCGCAGACUUCCUAAAGGGGGUCGGGGUGCCUCGGCCCUCGGGGCCGGGGCAAGCGCAACCCGACCCCCCCCCCCCCUCGGGGGAAAUCAGGAGGAGGGCGGACACCUCACCCUCGGGCCCGACGUCCCCGAAGGUGCCAGGCCACGUGGGCGAUUGCGUCUGCCUCAAGCCUCUGGUCAUGAUACUCCCGGUCCCAUAUCACCGACAGUAGCCCCCGGCGUUAUGCCAGAGCAAUUUCCCUUCCCAAGGGAAGCGGUCAGGUGUGACGCCACCCCUAAAGCCUGGUGACAGGUGGGACCGGUCUCCGUAGUUGGGCAAAAUACCCAACGGUCUCAAUCCAUGCACAUUGGUAAUGGUGACUUGGCUGUCCAUAAUGGGCGGUCUCUUCAAGACUGCCACAUUACCUGAGCAGCGCACGAAUCUGGGCGAGCCGAUUUGCUUCGCCUGGAGAUAUGGUGAUGGUGCUUUUCUCGGAGCCAUCAGAAUAGCGUAUAGCAUCUUCUGGGCCCGAGGGUAUCGGGUUUUGGCGUCCCGGAGGGCCUCACUAACAAAGUAGACGGGCCGCUGCACCUUUCGGCGGGGCCGAUCCUCUUCGCUAGGGGCCGCAUCUCCAGGGCGCUCUUCAUCCGAGAGGCAGCGCGGGGCGCCCUCGGCUUCUGCGCCGAUAUCCUCGGGGUAAGAGGGCGACAGGCGCGGCCUUCCCACAGUGGCCCCGAGGCUAUCCUGAGGGUCGGGGGCGCCUGACACCGUCGGACAAGCAGGCGGAGGGCCAACUCCGGCCGUCGGGGGCCUUGGGCCGCCGUUCGGCUUGGGGGCCUCUCGGACCCUGACUUCUCCCCGUGGGCAGCGCUGGAAGAGUUCCCUUUCGGAACCGAGGACGGCGCACGCGCGCAGGUCCGGGACGCCGCCGACCACAUCGUUCACAGCUUCGAGGGUACGGCCCCUCGGCUCGCGUUCGCCCUCGACUCCGACGAGGAGGGCGGCGACGGUGGUGCGGACGAUAACGACGACAAGGCUGGUGACCCGGGCGCGUCGGAGUGAGCCCCCAGGCCCCCGCCAAUCUUGAAUAGCUUUUUCUUUCUUCUUCCGAGGCCUUCGGGCCCCCUUCUUGUAUAGACUAAUUUAAUCUGCAACCAAAUAAAGAGGAAAUUUCUAUGUCACUUCUAUUUGUUGUGUGUAUGAGACGAGGAUGGUCUGUGCCGCGGUCCUUCUGUGUCUUGGCUUGAUCAAGGGCUCGUGCCCAGGUCCUAGUCCUCAAAUGGCUCGGGUCGGGGCUAGUGCCUGGGGAGAUCCACAUGUCGAGACUGGCCAGGCCGGGAACGUGGUGACCGAGGGUUAUGGGUGACCCGAUUGUGGGUUUUUGCCGAUUCCCCCCCGGAGUUCACCACGCCCCGGAGCACGGCUCGGUUCUGGGCCCCGUUUGGCGAUUUUAGCUGACCGAACCGAGCCCCCGAGGGCAAGGUUGAGCACGAGUGACCUAUUUCAAGUCAAGAUUCUUCAAAAAGGAAACAAAAGCACAGACACAGCCUUUAGGAAAUCGAAAAUGCUUUUGUUGAAAUACGGAAGAGAAAAAAGAUAAGCCCCCGGCCAACCCUGCACGCCCGGGGGGGUGCGGGGUUGGCCCGAGCCCGAAACCUGACACCCGACCCCCACUAGGGGUAGAAGCGACGAAGGUGUUUGAUGUUCCACGGGUGAGGCAGCUCUGUGCCGUCGCCCGUGGCCAGCCGAACGGAGCCCGGCCGGGGGACGCCGAUCACUCGAUACGGACCCUCCCACAUUGGUGAGAGUUUGCUCAGUCCAGCACGCGUUUGGACGCGGCGUAGGACGAGGUCGUCGACGCAGAGUGAUCGGGCCCGGACGUGGCGCUGAUGGUAGCGCCGCAGGCUCUGCUGGUAGCGCGCGGCUCGGAGGGCCGCGCGCCGCCUUCGCUCUUCCAAGUAGUCGAGGUCAAGGAGCGCCGGCCUUCUUUCUGUCGCUCGCAGACCUCCCCUUUCGGGUGGCCAGCGAAACGCCCUCGACGGCGAGGACAUGACCCUCGUCGUCGGAAUGGGCCGACCUCUUCUUCCUCCUCCUGUCCCGCCGCCCUGUCUGAGCAGCGGAUCCGGGGGCGGCCGAAGCUGCCACUCCGGGACCGGAGGGGUUCCAGGUCCAUGCCUCCUCCUUACGAGCCACUCGAUCCGCAAGCUGAAAAAGCUCCGCGGUAGUCUGGGGCUCUUUGGAGGCAAUCUUUUCGAGCAUGCGGUUGUGCCGCACACCCCCCCUGAACGCGUAGAUCACCGCGUGUGCAGGGAUGCAUGGUAUAGUAUUGCGGACUUGGCAAAACCGCUGAAUGUACGAGCGAAGCGACUCAUCAUCGCCUCGCUGUACUGCAUGCAAGUCCGCUUCUUCGCCUGGGCGCGGAUAUGUGCCUUGGAAGUUCAUGGUGAACUGUUGGCACAAAUCUUCCCAGGAGUGGACCGACGCGGGUGGCAGGUUCAUUAGCCAACCCCGCGCCUGUCCUUUUAGGGCCAUGGGAAAGAAAUUCGCCAUGACCCUGUCGUCACCCCCAGCGGCCUCGAUCCCGGUCGUAUAGACCUGGAGAAACUCGGUGGGGUUGACGCUCCCAUCGUACUUCUCAGUGAUGGUGGGCCGGAACCUUGGGGGCCAACGGACAUUCCGAAGACUCGCCACAAAGGCUCUACAGCCAACACCACCAGCCGGGGGCACGGAGGGCUGGUCCUCACGUCCAUGUCGAGGUGACACUCUGGACGAGGAGGCACCCUCCGUUGCACGGGGGGUACGCCGGCUAUUACGCCGGCGCUCGAUGUUGAGGCGGGCAUCCGGCUCCCCAUGCUGAUCCUUCCGAGUCGAAGGUGUCGACGAGGGAGUAGCAGCCGAAUGACGUGCAGCCGCCGCCGCUCGCCGCGCCCUCCGCCUUGACGACACGGAGCCGGUGGUAGCGGCGCCGGAGGUCUUGGUGGUGGCGGACCGUCCACCAGCACCCAAGCGCUGCUGAGCCGUCAUGACCAAGUUGGCCACGUCUCCCAGCCAUCGUUGGGCUGGAGACUCCGGGUCAUGGACGACAGGCGGGUGUCGUAGGAGCGCGCCAGCAGCCUGAAGCGCGCCCUGAGGCGUGCUGCCGUCGCCGUAGACGAGGAGGCGACGCUCCCCAUCUCGCCGUUCUCCUGCAUCACCUGCGAAUGGUGAUGCCACGGAUUUGUCGACCCUCCCAAGCGCCUCCCCCUGCUUAGGGCUUUGGCGCGGAGGAGGUGGGGGAGUACGAGCUCGACGGCGUGGAUUUGGUUCCCCGUCGUCGCCGCUCACACUCGGAGAGAGAUCGUGCGCCUUUGCUUGCUCGGCCAUUAGGCAGAACAAGGGAAACUUGGCGCACACGGAAGAGUAUGAGAGCUCAGAAAACACACGCUGAGCCCCCUACCUGGCGCGCCAGAUGACGGAGCUCGUGGCUCCUCACCGGGAGACCGCGCAGGCCCCCCUUUGCCAGUUCGGCCGGGGGCUUAGGGUGAAAUCUCAAGCUCUCGCUCUCUCUGUAUGUGGAAAUAUCGUAUGCCAGCCAGAAAACACGAGACACCGACGAUCUAUACAGGUUCGGGCCGCUGAGAAGCGUAAUACCCUACUCCUGUGUUUUGGUGGAUCUGUGUAUGAGUGAGCUACAAAUGUCAGCUGACUUCUCCCCCGUUCUAAGCUCAUAAUCUGGGAAAGAAUCAACCAACCCCCUUUCUAUGGGCAAGGUCCUCCUUUUAUACUUCAAGGGGAUACCACAUGCACCCUUCUCUUUCCAAACUGGACUGUUCUUUUUCUCUUGAAUGGGCGGAGAUCAGCACGGUUGCUGUCCGAAUGACGCUCCGAUGGGACAGCCCACACCUACCUCCACUUCCGCCGGGGGUGAGCGCAUCGUGGGAACAUGGCUGUGCGCUGACGAUAUGGUCAGUGUCAGACCGGUCACAAAUCGGUCAUUCUUGUCCACCGCGUGUAAUCUUGGCAACGUGCAUGUUUGCCCUUCUUCACACAACAUCUUGCUUGUAAUGGUUAGGAUGAAGCCUGGCAUAUAUCGAUCGGGGCUAACGUGUCAUCUCUAAGAGAUAACACGCUUAACUCCGGCUUGAGACGAGUGCCUAGGGGCUUUCGUCUUGACGGGAUGGGGCAAGGCGUGCGCCAGACCGCCAGUCGCCACCUAACCCGUGAUCUGACCGGUCUGUGACUGGUCACAGACCGGAUAAAGGAACGCGCCGUACUGCACUGCGUACAGCGUGACACGCCUGACCAGACUGCAUUAAAUGCUGUUAGGUGAGCACAGCUGUGCUCACUUAUCCCAUAUAUGUGGCGCAGACUUCCUAAAGGGGGUCGGGGUGCCUCGGCCCUCGGGGCCGGGGCAAGCGCAACCCGACCCCCCCCCCCCUCGGGGGAAAUCAGGAGGAGGGCGGACACCUCACCCUCGGGCCCGACGUCCCCGAAGGUGCCAGGCCACGUGGGCGAUUGCGUCUGCCUCAAGCCUCUGGUCAUGAUACUCCCGGUCCCAUAUCACCGACACCCCCGUACCAGCCCAAAGGAAGCGACGUCUCUGCUUGUCAAGCUGCUCCAGGGAUUCCUUCGUCACCUUCAAGGCAGUGAGGAGAUAAAUUGGCUGUGCUGAAAGCACAGACUUUACAAGCGUGGUUCUCCCGGCUGCUGCCAUGUUUUUCCCCCUCCAACUUGCAACUCUCCCUGAUAUUUUGUCAAAGACCGGUUGCAAGUCCGUUUUUCGCAGCCUUCCCAGAGCAAGCGGGAGGCCCAAGUAUUUUAGUGGGAAAUUUGCCCGCUUCGCCGGAACGCCUUGGAGGACCUCUUCCAGGUCUAUAUUGCCGCAUCUUAUGGCCGCAACCUGGGAUUUCUGAAGGUUGGUGACGAGUCCUGUGGCUGUGCCAAAACGAUGUAGGAUGUUCGCGAAAGUCGCAACAUCGUUCUGGGUGGGAUUAAUGAAGAUCACAGCAUCAUCCGCAUACAUUGAGAUCUGCAUCCGAGUUGUUCUUCCUCGUAAUUUUGAAAUUGCACCCAGCUCUGUUGCCUUGGAAAGGAUACGCUGUAGAGGAUCAAUCGCCAGAAUGAAGAGAAGCGGCGAGAGGGGGUCCCCUUGUCGUAGUCCUCUUCCAUGUUUGAUCCGUUGCCCUGGCGAGCCAUUAAGGAGGACUUGGGAUGUCGAAGACGACAGUAAAGCCCCUAGCCAGUCUAUCCAUCUUGUCGGGAAGCCCUUGCGCUGCAGCAAGGCCAGGAGGUAAUCCCAUCGCACGGAGUCGAAGGCUUUUGUUAUAUCCAACUUGAAGAGCAACAUUGCCCGUCUUAGGCGGUGGUAUCUUCUGGUCAUGUUUCUUACGAAGAGGUAGUUGUCAUGAAUACUUCUCCCCUUUAUGAAAGCGCUUUGAUUGACCGAGAUCAACUCAUGCAUGUGGGGCCUUAACCGCAGCGCUAGCAUCUUAGCGAAGAUCUUGGCGAUGCUAUGAAUUAGACUAAUUGGCCUAUAGUCCGAAACGCUUUCAGCCCCAUCCUUUUUUGGGAUUAGGACGAUGUUUGCUGAGUUGAGCAAAUUCAGGUGCGCACAUCUCAGGUUAUAGAUGGAGCUGAAGACUAGCAGAAUGUCAUCCUUGAUGAUUUCCCAGCAAACUUUGAAGAAGGCCCCAGUGAAGCCGUCUGGUCCCGGUGCUUUGUCGGCUGGCAUUUCCUUAAUUGCCCUAUGCACUUCCUCCUCAGUGAAGGGUUCCCCCAGCGUGGCUAGAUCAAUCAGUGUGAUGUCCAACGUCUCCCAGUUUAGCUCGUUUGGCCUCGGCCCCGGCCUCCCCAUGAAGCUUGCGAAGUGAUCAUGGAUCGUCGAUUCCUUUUCACCGUGCGUCACCGCCCAACCACUGUCCUUUUUCAAUCUUUGGAUUGUAUUCCUUCUCCUUCGCGCAUUAACCUUGAGGUGGAAGAACUUCGUGUUCGCAUCUCCUUCACGGAUGUGAGUUACCCUGGAGGCUUGCUUUUUCCUUGCCCUUUCUAUAGAAGCGAGUCGUAGGACUUUCCGCUUGAGAGCCGCCCUCAGUCGCGUUUCCGGGGGGGAGAGUUCUCUGUGCUCUUGUGCCACGUCGAGUCUUUGGAUGACAUUGAGUGCCAUAUGGAAUUGCAAUUUAGCCUCUGAGCAGAUGCCUUUUGUCCAAUCUCUAAGGCCGACCGCCGUACGUUGCAGCUUUUGAUUCAGGCGGUGCAUAGGCUCAGUGUGCGAAGAAGGUUGGCUCCAGAUAUCCUUGACUUUGUCCUUGAACCCCGGGACCCGUGUCCAAAAGUUUUCAAACUUGAAGGUCCUUGGACGAUGUGGGCCUUGCGGGUUGGACAGUACAAGAGGGCAAUGGUCGGAUGGCCCUGUAGGAAGGGCAUGGAGAACAUGGUGGGGGAAAGCAAGAUCCCAUUCCUCAUUGCAAAAGCAACGGUCAAGCUUGACAAGGGUUGCCUUUCGACGCUCAUUACUCCAAGUGAACUUCCUGUUUUGCAGGGGGAUCUCAUGCAGCUCACAUCGAUCAAUGACUGCGCGAAAACGUCUCAUGCGUGCGAGGUUGAGGUUGCUAUUGUUUUUGUCCCGAGCACGGUAGAUCAUGUUGAAGUCUCCAAGGAUGAGCCAUCCUUCCCCAGGGCUGGGCCUUAACCUCCUAAUGUGCCGGAGGAACGAAUCUUUGAGGUGGUGCCUUGUUGGCCCGUAGACACCAGUGAGGAGGAACGUAACUCCUGAGCGAAUAUCUGUUAUUUGCGCGGAGAUCGAGAAGCGGCCGAUUCGAACCUCCUGGACAUCAAAAUCUCCACUACUCCAAAGGAGAAGGAUUCCUCCUCUCGUGCCUCUCGCCGGCUUGAAGGCAAAUUUAUCAAGCUUGUAGCCUCCUAAGAAACGAGCAAGGCCGUCAUCUAUGCUUUGGAGUUUGGUCUCUUGGAAGCAGGCCAAGGUGCACUUUGUGUCAAGCAUGAGCUCAUGGACUGCGUUGCAGCGUGCAGGUGAAUUUAGGCCUCUCACAUUCCAGGAGAUGAGAUCUAGACUUUGUGCCAUUUAAAAACGAAGAGUUCUCUAUAUCUGGACCGGCCCUUAGCCUCUUUUAAAAAAGGCCACUUCGGGGCGCAUGGCCCAUUAACGUUUGGCGGCCCAAUUCGCAAGUCAGUGUUGAAAAGGCAGCCUUUGGGCAGGCGCGGCCUGAUACGCACGCGGCCCACGAGCUGGCGCAUGGCCGUUCUUGUAGUGCGCGCGUGGCCCAGGUGACGCAUGGGCAGGCUUGCCGUGGGGGGAGGCGCGCUGCCCAAGCACGAGUGUGUGCGGCCCAAACGCCGGCCCGUGAAGAGGCGGGGGCGCGUCCGAGCGCCUGCAAGGUGUUCGACCGCGGGCGACGGCCACGGAGUGGCGGCCGGGUCCGAAGUGGGAAGCAAGUCUAACGACAGUCUGUCGGAGCGGGUGCAAACACAACAGCACGCAGGUGGAAGAGGAGGAAGACGAAGUUCUUGCCAACAUUGGCUACAAAAGCACAAGUCUUUUAAUGAAGUUGGGCAGGUUGCACGCAGGCCGCCGGCAAUCCAACCAGGAGAAGCAGCUCGCAGGCCGCCGGCGAUGUAAUCGCAAAUCGAAGAAGGACGAUACAUGGAGCGAAGUGGACUCCCAAACCAACUCCAGCCGAGGUGAAUACGCAUUAGGCGGCGACGGUGUCCUCAGCAUCCUCCGCCGCGUCGGCUAUACCUUCGCCAACUAGAGAUAUCAGCGCCGCAUCCAUUGUCUCCUGCUCUUCGUCGUCGAUGCCGAAGAUGGUGGUGAGGGCGGCGAUGACGUGCGCCGGCAGUGGGCCAUCGAACAUGGCGACGUACUCGGCGAUGACCUGCUCAAUUGAAGCGCCUUCCUUGCCGUUGAGGAGGCCCAGCCUUUUGAAGAGAACGCGUUGGCAGCGCUCCAUCGUCGGCCGUGCUGGUUGCUUGGCAAUGCGCUCACUGCGUCGGGUGGGCUGGCUGUGCUGCCUUGUGCGGAUCUUGAGGCGUCGUCCCAUGUGGAGCGGUCGCGCACACGGCGAUCUUGGUGGCGACCUCGGCGGCGAGGCGAUGAUCGGUUGCGGCGGCGAGGCGAACAGAGCAUCGAGGACGCCCGUCGAGAUCGGUGACGCCGAGGCUGCUGCUUGGGCAAGCUGGGUGGCAACCGGGGAAGGUGGCGGCGGCGCCACAAUGUCAUCAAUCUCCAUCGCGCCGGUGGGGACGACCUGGACAGCCGGGGGAGAAGGCGGCAGCAUCAGGUGGCCGCCCUUCCCCCCUGCAUCACCAGUCAUUUCCAAGUUGACGCCCCCCCCUGUGGCGACGGGAGAGCUCAGCACCGGGCCUUGGGCUAAUGCCGGCGAGGUGACCCGCGGGGGCGGCGAGUCAAUCUGCGGGAAUGGCUCUCCCACAGGGGGGUCGGUCGCCGCAGCCGCCAGCUCAAUCCGCAGGAGCGCCUCCUCUACUUGUUGGCAAGUAGUCGUCGAGGUAGGCGGCGGCAGCGCCGACUUGAUGCGCGCGAAGGCGUGUUCGACCGGGAUCGGCUCCCAGGCCGCGUUUUGGAACCAGGCUUCAAUCCUCGGUUUGGCUGGGCGACCCGAGAGGGCUGGCGUGGCAGCCUUGUCUGCGAUGAUGGAGAGCCGCUGCAGUUGGCUCACCGGCGACAACGCGUUCGUCUGGGGAUCCUGACACAAGAAGCUGGAGUUGUGCAGCGCGUGGAGCAAACGAAAUUCACCUACCUCUGCCUGGUUCGCGGAUUUGUGUAGAAGGGGAAUGUUCAUCAGUUUGCUCGAGUCGUAGACCGGAUUAGCCGUGCGCCGCGUGCCGCCGCCGCUACGGUUGGCGCCUCCCCUGUCCCGGCGACGCGGGGAGCGCGUGCGUUCACGGCGGUAGUCGUUGUCGCUUCCCCGCCUAUCAUCCCGGCCACGGCCGAGAUCCCGGCCUCGGUCAUCACGAUCAUCAUCGCGGUCAUUGCGGCGCCAGGGUCUCGGGUGGUCAUUGCCAGACCCCCGACGACGACCACGCCCGCCGCGCCCGCCCUGAUCGCGGUCAUGGCGGCCAUCGCGAUCAGCACGGCCGUCGCGGUCGUCGCGCUCGCCAUCCCAAUCAUCCUCGUCAUCGUGGUCGCCUUCAUCAUGAAGGCGUCCUCCCCGUGCUGCGCGUCCACGGCGGGGUCUGUCCGCGCGGCCAUCGAUGGCGUCGCGGUCAGACCGGCGUUCUGGCCGGCGAACCUCCCGGCGCUCGUCAUCCCGAUCACGCCCUCCGAGGCGCUCGUGGACCGAUCGUGGCGGCGGCGGGUGGUGCGGGAAGUCUUCAAAGACUCGCCCUGGGACCUGUUCACCGUCGAGCACUCCCAGGCUCCAAGGCGGUAGGCAGCGCUUGGCCGGCUGGAAGCUGCCUUGCCCCUCCAGAUCAAUGGUCGCCGCCGUGUAGUCAUGAAUCUCCUCCAAGUGGAAGAGCACCGGAUGGCGCACCCCCCUCUGCCAGUGCUCCAGUGGGUUCUCCACCGCAAAUAGGGGCGCCAGGUUCGAGUCCUUCGCCCGCUUUGUGAAGCCAAGCCACAUCCUCUUCGGGAUGGUGCUAGGAUUCGCCGUCCACGCCCAUAGGUCGAUGGAGCGCGUGUUACCAGACUCCACUGGGUGGACGACGUCCGUCUCGAUCUGUUCCAGGGCGCAAGUGCGACCAAUGAUGCGCUCAGCAAUGUCCGCGGCCCAGGCAUGCAUGGGGACGCCGUCAAGACACAACCGAACUCGGAACAUCAAGGCGACACCAAGCGCGCUCUCGAGGCUGCGCCACUUGAUGAAGUGGAUCUCAAUGCCGUGCCGCUUGACGUAUCCCUUCGCCAGCGCUUCCUCACAAUGUCGACGGUGCUGGAACUUGAUGAGGAAAGCUUGUGGGUGAUGGAGAGACACGGCCACCUCGCCACGGCGGAGCUUGAACUCAUCGAGGAAGGCCUGCUCGACGUCGCGCGGCUCGGUGGUCGGCGGAGCGCGGGCCGCCCAGGAGACCGCUGCGGUCUCACUCCAUUCACGCAGCUCCUCGUCAAUGGCGUACGAGGUGGGGAUGAAGCAAGUGUCCUCCUCAGGGCGCGUCGCCGGGUCGCCGAGCUGCGACAUCUUAGCCAGGGGCGGUCGCGGAGGCGGCGGCGGGGGCCGGGUGACGGGAUCCUGCUUGGCGGGUGACGGCAGUGGAGCAGGGGAGGCGCGGCUGCGUGGCGAAUGCGCUGACGAGCGGGCGCGACGAGGGGCGGGGGGGUGCGUGUCAGGAAGGCGGCGCGUGUUGGUACGACGGCGAGGUGGAGUGCGUUGGCGAGGCGGAGGCGGGGAGUGUGAGGUAGAACGAACUCGACGUGGUGGAGGGGACGAGAGCCGAGCACGGUCAGCGCGAGACGCGCCGCGGAGUCGAGGCGCGCGGUUCGCAGCGUCGCGGUGGCGACAGUCGCGCGCCCGAUGGCCGGAGCGACGACAGAGGAAGCAGCGGACUGGAUCUCUACACUGGGCUGCACGGUGGCCGCGGGAGAGGCAAAUGAAACAUUUCCCACUGGUCUGCGCCCAAAAGUCGCGGUGGGAGAGGCAGCCUCGCCUAGUCCGGACGACGUCGUUUCGCCUUGAAGGUGGCCGGUGCGCCCUGCUUGAAUGCUCUCCGCUUGAAUGCUCUGCACGUCUCCACCAAUGCUUCCGCUGAACCCGGAUCCAGCCCGGUUCUCCGGGGAGAGAGCCGCCCAUGUCCUGCUCGGCGACGCGACGCGGAGGCAGGCUAGCAUCGUAGGGAGCAGCUCUCCGCGGCGAGGCGUCAUGGCGAGCGGCGCGGUUGUUGAGCCGGACGGGAGAGGUAAAUGCAGAGUUGAAAACGGGGCGUGGUGAACAGCGCGCCCAGCCCUGUUGGCUCAAAUUUGAAUUUGAGCUUGCCGCCCCUCUGACAAUCUCCGCGAACGAGCGACGGAGUGGCGGAUCUGGCGUCUCCAGCACAACCGAGGCCGAUCUCGUGCAGGCGUGGCCGUCCCUGGCCAGCGGCGGCGGCUGCGGAAGGGGGGAUACCGGGGCCAGAAGAGACGACGGCGUUGUCUUGCUGGUGGGGGGAACGAGGCUUGAGCGAAGCGCCAGCGGGGAGGGCCACGAAGCGGCGGAGACCGCGGAAGGCCAGCGGAGAAGGGUGCGCGUGGACGGCGCCGGCUGGAGCGCCAGCGCCGGCGGCGGCGGGCGCAGGGGCAUGCUUACCUUACCAUGUUAUUUGCCUUCCUCUUUAAAACCUUGUCUGUCAGUCCAUAUAGACAAUACUAUGUCCGUACAUGUCCCGUGCAUAGCCAUGCGAAUACGUGAUCCUAAGCACAAGAUGCCGGGGUGUGCUUCGGCUAUCGAGAAUUGACCCGGAUUGGACGCUCUCGCAUGAAACUAAACCGGCUAGCCGAAGCACACCCCUGCAGGUCUGAUCGUCUGAUCGUCAAAAGAAUCCAGCAAUACGAUGGUGGACUCGGAGAGGGAGACUCGUAUACCUUUUUUUUUUCCCAUUGUAGUAACAGGUCAUGUGUAGCACGACGGUAUGUUGUAUGUCAUCGCCCUUGUCUUUGUGUACACGUGAUUCAGUUACAGGCUGUCUGAGCUACACGCCACAGUUUGUUCCACCGAAGCUGCACAUUUCACAAAGUUGAACGCCGCCCCUGCUGAACCCUACCCCUUUGACUCAUCCUGUCAUCCCCAUGAAUGCGGAUGUCACCACUCGUGUGGAGAAGAUUCAUAUACCUGCGCGAUACGGCAGAGGCGAAAGGCACAACCGCACAAACCGACGCAGAAAGUCUCCGGUGGCCAGAAAACUCUCCGGUGGCUCCACGUACGUACGCGUGUCGCCUCGCGCCGAAGCAAGCCGCACCCAGGCACACCAUCCCACACGCACGUAGCUCCGUCACCGCGUCACGUACGAACGGACUAGUACGAGUCAAUACGUACCGAGCGCGGUAUGCGCGCGGUUCGUUCAGAUUUUACCGGGGGCAUCAAAUGUUAACCAACUUGGGUUAGAGAUAAUCACAACUAGUAGUAACCGAGUCAAGUCAACCCGCACAGAUCUCAUGCCAGAUGCCACCACGUAUCAACCGGGAGAAAGGUAGUAAAAGUAAAACCCGCCGCUUACGCCGGUCGUGAAUAUAUCGGUGCAUGUGCUUCAAAAUUAGUAAGUUCAGAAGUACUCCGCACGGCAAAAUUAGGAGUAUGCGUAUUCGAUCUAACUAUCUACUAAGAGCAAAUUGGUGUUAAGCCUCUCCGCACGGCGUCGCCGUCGAUCUGAUUUCCGUCCAAUUCGCCUAGACGAGGACUAGUAGUACAAUACUCCUAGAUUGCGCCGCACCACGCCACCACGUACGCACGCGUGCUACAAAUUUCCCUCUUCCUCCGUCUACCGAGAAGUGGCCCAAAAGGGGCGCCUCGCUCUCGCCCCCCUCCCGACUCAGGCACCACCAUCUCGCAUCAUUUGUUUUUUCUCCCUGGAAAGAGCGGCCAUCUCGCCCUGCGUUGCGAGAUCCCCGUGAACCGUCGCGGCCGGGCGGUGGUAAUCGUGGCAAGGACGGAUGCAGCACAAAUGGAAGGUCGUGGAGGGCGGCGCCGGUGCCGGUGCCGGCGGCGGCGGGGGAGAUCAGCGCCGGCGGUGCGUGACGGCGUCGUUGUCCAUGCUGAUCGCGGCCACCCUGGCGUUUCUUGCCUACGUCGCCUUCUUCCCGUAUGACGGCGCGGGCGGGCUGUACCGGUGGUGGAGAUGCGAGGGUUGCGGCGACGCGGCGGGCGGGUUCGCCUUCGACGAGGCGGCCAUGGCGCAAGGACCUACGGCUGGUGGCGCCCGCCGCCGCUCGCCGACGACGCUGUCGCACAUCGUGUUCGGCGUCGGCGCCUCGGCGCGGACGUGGGACAAGCGGCGCGGGUACGCGGAGCUGUGGUGGCGCCCCGGGGAGAUGCGCGGCCACGUCUGGCUCGACGAGCAGCCGGUGGGGCCCUGGCCGGCGGCGACGUGCCCGCCGUACCGCGUCUCGGCGGACGCGUCCCGGUUCGGGGACCGGGCGUCGGCGUCCCGGAUGGCCAGGAUCGUGGCGGACUCGUUCUUAGCCGUCACGGCGGAGAUGGCGAACGGCACCACCGAUUCUCCCGAGGCGCGGUGGUUUGUGAUGGGUGACGACGACACGGUGUUCUUCCCGGACAACCUGGUGGCCGUGCUGAACAAGUACGACCACGAGGAGAUGUACUACGUCGGGGCGCCGUCGGAGAGCGUGGAGCAGGACGUGAUGCACUCGUACGGCAUGGCGUUCGGCGGCGGCGGGUUCGCCGUCAGCUACCCGGCCGCCGCCGAGCUCGCCAAGGCCAUCGACGGUUGCCUCGAACGAUACAGGCUGUUCUACGGCAGCGAUCAGCGCGUGCAAGCCUGCCUCAGCGAGCUCGGCGUCCCUCUCACCCGCGAGCCCGGAUUCCACCAGGUGAAUAUCCAUCCGCACUCCAAUUAUUUUUUCCAUUUUACUACCAAACAUUACUCUGAUCCUAACACAGCCCUAACAAUCCUCGAAAAUGUUUCCUUUAAUCGUCCAACCUCCCAGGAAUCGGGAAAAGGUAAUUCCAAAUUAUAUCAUGUUCUUAUUUCCAUGCAAACUUUAGCUUAGCUGAUCACAGUGCGGUUGCAAUUGGCAAUUACUCCCAGACCGAUUUCUCGGCAACAACUGCCAAAAUCAAAAACUUUUUUGCAGUUGCAAUUGUCAAUUACUCCCAGACCAUUUCUCUAGCCAAAAAUAAAAACUUUUUGACUAACUUUUCACCGCUUCUCCAAGCAAAAUCCUCCACACAGAAGAGGCGAAAUAGAAAGGUCUGUAUCCAAUCGUGAUCGUUAGGAUUUUCACACUUUAGAAUCUUUGGCUCCUGCACUUUCUAGAAAUUACUACUCAACACCCCUGCUGGCUGUAGGCAAAUGCACAAUGCCAUCCGCGGGAUGCCCUUGUUCCGGCUAAAGUUGCCGGACAGCGUGGAGGCACACGGACCAAAAGGCCUAGCUCGUCCUGGGAGCGACACCGCUCUCUGCCCCCAUGUGAUCGCGGGUAUCUCGCAGGACAAGCGUCUACAUGCCACAGGGGGACUGACCCUAGCUAACAACCGUGGUGCCCGCCCGUCGCUUUCCAUUUUUCCGGGCACCACCACCCCCAUCGGCACAUCCACUCAUUCCCCUUUCAUCCACCCCGACAUACACGGCGGCGUGAAAAACAAAUGAGGAGAUCAGGCGACGAGGCGGACAUCGCCCUGAGUUUAGUAGAUAUCCGCCAUGCCGGUUGGUAGCGGUAGAGCCAUAUCAUAUUUGUUACGUACUGCAGGGUGGAUGGUCCCGGGGGUCUAGUUAUGUUAGUUUGGAUUGCAGCGCCAAAAAUAAUCCCGUGGGGCGGAGUGGCGAUCUCGCCUUUGGGCCGUAGGUAUCGCCGUUUUUUUCGCUGCUUGCCCUAUUUCGUUGUCGUGGGCGUAUGCACUACUGCUAUGUGGCGUGGCUGCACGAUUAGUGGCUGGAAGCCAAAGCUUAAGCUUGGUUAAUGAGGCAUUGAUGACUGACGUUGAUGGUUGUAGUAUUGUAAAGAAAAAAAUAACAUCGGUCGCGCCCGGGGCGGUGGACCAGUGAUAUACUAUAGCUUUUCCGGUGAGUCGCCAACACGGCAGUUGGUUGGCGCGACGUCGUGACCCCGCGGCGCCAGGUGCCUCGCUGUCCUUUUCCCGGUGACGAAGCGGCCCAGCCUAGGUGUCACGAGAUGUGGAGAUUAGCGCUGUAGUUUAGGUGUGGCAGCGGCCUACGGAAACGAUUUCAAGUUUUGGAACGGGUGAGGGUCAUUAGAGCACCCGCAAUGGUAAAGUAACGUGCUCUCUAUAAAACAUUACAACUCAGCAAUAUACUAGAUUAAUAGUAAACUACCUCAAUAGUAUGUCUAUAUGGAUAUCUAUAGCUCUUUAAUCCAUUGCCUCGUUUUUCUGUAUAGACUAUCUACAGGUUAGUAGAUAGCUUUGCUCUCUCUUCAUUUAAUCUCUUUCAAGUAGGAAAAUAUGCUGAUAUGGAUAUCUUGUAGAGAGCCUAUAAAUAACCAUUGCGGGUGCCCUUACAUUACCGUUGGUAACCGCGUGGUUAUCAGACUUAUCACGGGGUACGGUAAUAGAAAAAUCACGAUAAUCUCCUUAAAUUUAAAUAAAUUUUAAAAAAUAUUUUUUUAUAAAUUUUGUAAGUACGGUUUUUCACGAUUAUUGUACGGUAACUGUGCUUACCGUCAGGAUGCUGUAACCUCGGUUCCGGCGGUUUGGAAACCAUGGUGAGGGUUACUACUUCUUGUUCCUGGUCGCCGCAGUAGUAACGGACCUAGAGAUAGUGGUAGCGGACGCAUACAAAUGUAGUAGUGGAAAACUCACUGGAAUAUAUCUCCAUCUCUCGUUCUCUCGUUGGAAUUGAGCAGGGGCAGUGGCAGUACUACGGCUCAACUUUCGUGGGUAGUUCUACCGUGCUUGACAUGCCGUGCGGUCAGCGAGGGAAAGAAACCUUUUCCCUCACGUCGAACCGGCCGCUUUUCUUUUCACCUUUUUUGAACCCAUGCCUCUUGGGGACACAUGUCCACCAACCAGAUCUGAGAAUUCUUUGCUUUUGGGCUAGUUUAGUUCCCAAAAAUUUUCCCCUUCACCUAUCACAUCGAAUCUUUGGACACAUGCAUGGAGCAUUAAAUGUGGACAAAAAGAAAAACCAAUUGCACAGUUUAGCUAUAAAUCGCGAGACGAAUCUUUUGAGCCUAAUUAGACCAUGAUUAGCCAUAAGUGCUACAGUAACCCACAUGUGCUAAUGACGGCUUAAGUAGACUCAAAAGAUUCGUCUCGCGGUUUCCAGGCGAGUUCUGAAAUUAGUUUUUUCAUUCGUGUCCAAAAACCCCUUCCGACAUCCGGUCAAACGUCUGAUGUGACACCCAAAAAAUUUCUUUUCCCCAACUAAACACAGCCUUUGUGGCGUGUCGUAACAAGGUCGCCAUUUGUCACUUUCUGCCCUCUGUCUUCUUGUCGUCCUCACCAUCGUUCACCAUCUGGCAUCGAGAAUCUUCUUACUAACAACUGUGGCCGCAACAACGACUGACAGGUGGACGUCCGCGGCGACGCGUACGGGAUGCUGGCCGCCCACCCGCUGGCGCCGCUGGUGUCGCUCCACCACCUCGACCACAUCGAGCCCAUCAGCCCCGGGGGGCAGCAUGGCAGCCCGCUGGACGCGGCGCGGCGGCUGGUGCGCGCGUCGCGGCUCGACCAGGCGCGGUCGCUGCAGCAGGCGUUCUGCUACCAGCGCGGGCCGCGCUACACCUGGUCCGUGUCGGUGUCGUGGGGUUACACGGUGCAGCUGUACCCGUGGGCCGUGGCGCCUCACGAGCUGGAGGUGCCGCUCCGGACGUUCAAGACGUGGCGGUCGUGGGCCGAUGGCCCGUUCGUCUUCAACACGCGGCCGCUGAGCCGCGACGACGCGUGCGCCCAGCGGGCCGUCUUCUUCCUCAGCGCCGCCCGGAACGAUACGUCCUCCCGCGGCCGCGGCCGCAGCCGAGCCACCAUGACGGAGUACACCAGGCGCGUUGCGAAGCCGGGGGCCAAGGAAUGUGACCGGCCCAGCUUCCUCGCGGCGUCCACGGUCCACACGGUCAGGGUCUUCGCCCCAAAGAUGAGCCCAAACGAGUGGACACGGGUAAGAACAACUGGCUAAACUGCUGUUCUGAUGAAUUCCUGAUGCAUUCUGGCUCUCCCAUGGGCAUGCUUAUGUGCGUUUUAUCUGUUGUUGCAGGCCCCACGGCGGCAUUGCUGCAGCACGAAGAGGACGAGGUUUGGCACUGAGCUGGAGGUGCGGAUACGAUACUGCGGCCGAGGAGAGCUCACCACGCCGUAGCUCUCUGCCGAUGAUCCCGCCGCAGUUUUGCCAACAGCACGGAGGGCUAGAUGCCAAGAUUUUAGUAGCGGCUAGUGCCAUGACACCGAACUGACUGAAGAGGACGGCAGGGUGAAACACCGUAUUUCACUGCGGAUUUUUGGACAGAUUCUGGUUUGUCUUCGUUGUGCACGUACAAGUGAUUAUACGGCUCGUCAGGCCGCAGACACAUGCUGACAUGCAUACGCAUGAUUGCAUACCCCGGGUACACAGUAAUCCGUUUGGCUCGAGCGCUCUUUUUCUGUAAAGAGCUGUAAAGGGAGUGGUGAUCAGACUUAACGAUUUCGACAUGUAAAGCGUAGUAGGACUAGUUUGAAAGGAUGGUCUUUUCACUGUUUUGAGAAAGAAAAGGUGGUAUUUAUCUUCUGGAGGUACUUUCAGUUCUUCGUGGAUCCACAUUGCACAAGAAAUAGAAGGGACAAAGUAAUAAGGAAUAAGUUCACUUUAGGUCGCUCAAUUUGUUGCUGAGUCUAACAUUCGUCCCUGAACUAUAGCAUAUCCUCCAACUCACAAUACCAUGUUAACUUUGGUCCCUCGGUAGUAUAGUGGUGGGUUUCGGCUAACGUGCCGACUGAGUGAAGUGUGGGACCCACAUAUCAUAGCAAUUCAAUCUAAAUAAAAAAUAAAAAUUUGUGGACUUAGUGACACGUCUCCUUCCUCUUUCAAUCUCGGUUUCUCUCAACUUUUUUCUCGGUGAUAUCGGCGGGACCGGGACAUCGGUGCGGCAGGCGGGAGCAGGCCAUCGGCGUGGCAGGAGGGUGUCAGCGGUGCACGAGACCACAGGCCACAAGCGGCAGUGUGGAGGAGAGCGCUGGCGAUGCGGUAGCAUCUCCUCCGGGCUCGGGCCCGCAUCGCGCGGGACUCGUGCGCUCGUUGUUGGCGCCGUGAGAGCGACCUCUACCCUCUCUUCAUCAUCCUCCUCUCUCUUCUCAUGUCCUCUCUCCUCUUCUCUCUCUUCCCCUCGCAUGCACGCGCACACAGCAGCAUACAGGCAGCAGCGUAGCAAACAUCACACCGCUCUCAUCCAUAUCAACGCUGAAUCUCCGCUUGCUUGCUGCUGCUGUAGAGUCGAGAAGCUUCGGGGUGGGAGUUGUGACUGCGGCGGAGGAGAGGGGAGGAGGAAGGGGUGGUGAUGCGUGGUGAUGAUCGAUGCAACUGCUAAGCCAGUGACGGCGAGGCUGGUAGCGCUCGAUGUGCUUUGUCAUCUCUGCCUAAGCUCGGCCUUGUCGCUGCCCUCCACUGUGAUAGGAGAGAGAGGCGCAGUGGUGCAACCCCCCCCUUCUCUCUCUGCGUGCACGCGCACACAGCAGCAUACAGGCAGCUGCGUAGCAAACAUCACACCGCUCUCAUCCAUAUCAACGCUGAAUCUCCGCUUGCUUGCUGCUGCUGUAGAGUCGAGAAGCUUCGGGAUGGGAGUUGUGACUGCGGCGGAGGAGAAGGGAGGAGGAAGGGGUGGUGAUGCGUGGUGAUGAUCGAUGCAACUACUAAGCCAGUGACGGCGAGGCUGGUAGCGCUCGAUGUGCUUUGUCAUCUCUACCUAAGCUCGGCCUUGUCACUGCCCUCCACUGUGAUAGGAGAGAGAGGUGCAGUGGUGCAACCCCCCCCUCUCUCUGCGUGCACGCGCACACAGCAGCAUACAGGCAGCUGCGUAGCAAACAUCACACCGCUCUCAUCCAUAUCAACGCUGAAUCUCCGCUUGCUUGCUGCUGCUGUAGAGUCGAGAAGCUUCGGGAUGGGAGUUGUGACUGCGGCGGAGGAGAGGGGAGGAGGAAGGGGUGGUGAUGCGUGGUGAUGAUCGAUGCAACUACUAAGCCAGUGACGGCGAGGCUGGUAGCGCUCGAUGUGCUUUGUCAUCUCUGCCUAAGCUCGGCCUUGUCGCUGCCCUCCACUGUGAUAGGAGAGAGAGGCGCAGUGGUGCAACCCCCCCCCCCCUCUCUCUCUCUGCGUCCACUGCCGCGAUGAGCUCAGGAAGUCAAAGCAGCUAAAACCGGCUACCAUACCGCUGAGGAUUCAGUUAACACGGUAUUGUGAGUUGAGGAAUGAGCUGUAUGUAUUUCGGUUUAGGGAUGAAUUUCAAACUCAGCGAUAAAUUAAGGGACCCAUAGUGAACUUGUUAGAACUAAAUAAUGGGCCAUAAGCCCAUAGCCCAUUGACAAGGGCACACUGGCCCAGAAUCGAUAGAAAUUUAACUGGGCCAGAGUAGAUCUCCAGGUCAGUUAAGUUCUUGAGGCAUUAUUUUCUUUUUAAUUUACGGUGCAUAAAAGCAAUCCUUGGCUUCUUGCAUUUGACAGUAAUCUCGACCGAAAACAAAAGACAAAAAUCCAUCAGUAAAUGCAGGUCGAUUGGUAUCUCGUAGUGGCACAUGUUAUGAUGUUGAACCCAAAAAUAAAUUUCCUAGGAUAUACUGUAUCAUGCGUGUAAUUUCUCUGAAGUUGCAAGUCUACUGGACGAUCUGUUGUGUGAUAUAAGAGAGUCAAAAUACAGUUAUACACAACAUGGCUCGGAAAAAAAGGGACAUCUCUCAAAAUACAGGUCAGACAGAAUUGUGAAGAAAAAAGGGGCAUCUCUCAAAAUACAGUCCAGACAGAAACGUGAAUAAAAAACAUCAUUACAAUCAAGCUUUUGCGCUCAAACUAGUCCCAAUUUUCCUCUGGAGACAAAGUUUCAUCUAUGGAGCAUAGCGCAACUUGCAAGAACUUAAGAGCUGUACUGCCCCCUUUAAUUUCCGUCCUUUGAUAGACACAUUCCCGGCAAAUUCUCGUCCUCACGAUCUCGAGAAAAAGGCACAAGAUGGUGAACAAAUUGAUUAUCAACAAGUAAAGUACAAUCCAACAGUGCCCAUCACUCUAUCAGGCUCCCAAUCCCUUUCAGGGAAGCAUCCAAGUGGGGGAAGCAGAGGAGAAAGGGUGGUCAAACAGCCAAAUGCCGAGCCGCCCAGCGUGUGUGGCUCACAUUGCCCGUUGAAUUAUCCCACGAGUUCUUUGGCUCCUUGCCUCCUUGCAGGUUUGCACCGAUCCAUUUAAAGAAAGUCAACUUCGUUGGGGGAAAUCCUGGCCACAAGAUCUGCCCCAUCGCCAAUCUAUCCAUUCCUCAAGGCAUACGAUAGAGGUUACUCCGUACCAGAAGAGUGGUCCACUCUUCCCUCUCAGAUAUUUUCGCCAAAUCGCGUGCACAUAACAACUCAUGGAAGAAACUACUAGGAAUAUUUCUUGCAGAUUCAAUUUGCAAUGUACUGUACUGUAACACGGUUGAAAAUUUUCGUUUUCAGCCGGAAUUGAACUGUUCUUUUUGUGAAGAUUCUAUAUAAUUCAUAUGAAACUCAUAGUACUAGUACGUUCUGGACGUGGUCUUAAUUAAUUUCCUUGUAGCUUUGUUUGCUUGACCAAGUCAAAACGCUGCGAGGCAUCGCUGGCGAGUGGCGAGCCCACACAUUGUCAAAACCUUGUUUAAUCAAGGAACCGGUCCAUUCGUGCAUGGAACCGGGCCUCCAAUUAAAAUGCGUGCAUGUGGAUAAAUACUCCUAUAUAUAUCCGCAGAGUACAGUAGUAGUACAUGUUUGGCACGAAACGGGCCGGUGCGGACGACGACGACGGACGCCGAGUUUUCCGUGUAGCCGAUAGGCUGGAGCGCGACGCCACCGCGCGCCGCACCGCCCGCCGCAUGCAAGUGGCAUCGUCGUCGAGAUGUAGCGCGCGGGUCGCAAUCACGUGGUACGUAACUGGUGAUGCAAUAUAGGAGUAUGCAACCGCGCAUGUGUGCUGUGCGUGCUUGAGCUGGUGCGUUGGGCGUUGGACUAGUUGGGUGGGGGUUGGACGCGGCCGCGCGGCGAAUUCGAGUUGUUCAUACGCGCGGCGCGCCGCACCGCGCUCGGUCGAGGAGAAAUCGAGCAAGGCUGACCAGCUUCCGUUCUGCGUUGCGGCGGGCGCGCGGGAUGUUCGUCGCUUCAGAAAGAUAAGUAUAUGACCAUGUGUCCAAGCAGCGGGCUGCCGACGUCGGCGGAGUGUUUUGUCAACACCUCGUAUAUGUGCUUUAGAAAGAAAGAAAAAAGGUUUUUGCUUCGAUUGCAAGGGAAGCGACUAGCCAUUGAUUCUGCUUAAUGAGGAAAUUGAGAGCUGGCUGGUCGGUUUCUGUUUUCUUUCUGUCGACCGAGAGAAAUGGGUGUACUACAGUACGUACUACAGAAUACUGAUAGAAUUUGAUUUGUAGUCGAGAGACUUCUAAUAUCCAAUUACCGUGCUCAUUCACUGUAGAUAAUUGGCAUCUCUCAGGUAUACCUUUUAUUUUAUUUUAUUUUAUCCUACGAGGGGACAUCACUUAAACUCUGGGGGUCUGGGUCAAGUGAAAAGAAAAUUGGAUUAUGAGUUUAAUAUGGUGUCUCACGGGCCCACCAGGACUAGCUAAGACGGUGGGUCAUACAACUAUAUAAGACGGGGCCCUGCCUAGCAGCGUACUUGUCGACUACUAUAGCUCUGCUAAAAUACCCUUUUUUGGACUUAUUUAGAUACUUUUUUGAAGUAUAUAUAUUUAAUUUUUUUUUGAAGGAGAGGUAAUAAUUGAAUUUGAACUGAAAGCUUGAAAUUCAACACUGCUAUACCGAUUUGGAUCCAAAAUCCACUCGAUAUAUCCAAAGAAAGCUGAGCUGUAACCUGCAAGUCAAGGUCGAGACGUUACGUCGAGGGACGCCGAUUUCUGCAGCGAGAAUUGAGCAUAUAUCAAAUGGGAUGACGGGAUCGGGGUGGAGGAUGUAGGUUGCAUGCAAUGCACUCAGGCCCGAGAGGGACCCAUCCCCGAUUGCGGCCACCCGGGCGUUCCACGGCCGUUGCUUUCGCCGAUCGCAACGCUCCAACUAUCAAGUUUGGACAUGUGUGUGACUGACACCAACACGAAAGCUAUAGCAUCUGCCCAUUAUCACACCAACCCUAGACAGUGUAGCCCACACCGAUGAUCGAUCGACCGAUCGAUUGGGUAGCCGCAGCCGCAGCUGGCUGCUGGGAAAAUGACCGCACAAACAGAACUCGAUUUGUAUGGUUCGUUUUAAUCGGUGUGCAUUUGUUUACUAACAAAAGCUCCAAGUUUUUAAUAGAAAAAGACCAAAACUUCUCGUUCGUGGGAGUGAAAUUUCAGUUGAAAACGGAAGGGUGAAGGGGGAGAGUAGAAUGAUCGAUCGGUACGUGCCGGAGUGUCCAAUCGAUCAAUUAUAACUUUCGUGACUGGUCUUUUUUAAAAACCUGUAACGACAAGAACAUGUGGCUGGCAAAACCUAGCUAUUAUAGCACGGAGGCAAACAUAUGCAUCGGUAUGGCAGCGCCUCUGUGCCGCUGUGUGUGACCCCAGCAUCGAUCAGCAGGCAGGCAGCAGUCUCUAUCUCGCUCAUUAUCUUUGGCCUUAUCCUCCCUAUCGGAAAAAAGAGCUCUGUUCGAACUGUUCGUUAUUUAAUAUAGCAUGGAAAAUAAAGGAAAAAAGAUAGUGAACGAACGUUUGAACCAGGGUACAGCUACGUACGCACGUAUAAUCUACUUGACUUUGGACAAAGGAAAAGAAAGAAAAAGGCUUGACAGAUCUCUUCCCCGUGUGUACGUUUAUACGCGUGACUAACUCCAGCAUCCGGACCGGAUGAUCGAUGCAUGCAUUGAUGAGAAGAUUAGAGCAGCAGCCCCACCCUACCGUGGUCUGUGGAUACACAGCGCUGACGACGAGGGAGAGGAGACGACGAACAGUCCAAAGGCGCACGUGUUCCAGCAGCGCCGUGAAAAUGGUGCAAUGCAUGCGCGAACGGUCUCAUAUGCAGUCUCGACCGAUCGAUCUCAUCUCACUACUCGGCAUCGACGGCAUGCAUGCGUGCUAGCUACUCCCUCCGUCCCACGGUACAAGGAAUUUUGAGUUUUUUUUUAACUUUGGACCACUCGUCUUAUUUAAUUUUUUUAAAUAUAAAAAACGAAAGGUUAUACUUAAAAUACUGUAGAUAAUAAAGUAAGUCACAAAUAAAAUAAAUAAUAAUUUUAAAAAAAUUUGAAUAAGACGAGUGGUCAAACGUUACAAGCAAAAAUUCAAAAUCCACGGAGGAGUAGCUAGCUACCAGCUGCCCUCGUCUAGCACCUGUUUGCACGACAUUUUUUCAAAGCCCACCUGACCCCGAUCAGAGAGGCCACGCCCCGCGCGCGCCCACCUUCCGCGCACCUUCACCCUCGCCUCUCUCUCAAGUCUCAACGUAGGCAGCUACACGUGGAUCGCUUGGCCACUGAUCAGUGCAACGACGGCGUACGUGUAACGUACUAACGUGUACCCGCGCGAUGGCGAGGAGGACGUUUGCCUCGCGAUUGGGAUUGGGCCGAUUGGGAACAAGACGAACGCGCGGUGUGUGCGUGCGACUGCGACUGGUUCGCGGCUUCGCGCGGUGAGUGGAUCUGUGGAAGGGGAAGUCUAGAGGGAAGCUAAGCAUAAAUAGCCGCGAAUAGCAACGCCCAUCGGUCCGUUCUCUACCAUACCAGUAGCAGCUAAUUAAGUGGGUGGGUUCGCUUGCUUGCUUUGCUUUUGCUUGGAGACGGGAGCGACGCUGGCUUCAGCGAUUGGCGUGGAGAAGCUAGAUUGUUGGUGCGACUUUCCGACCGCGAAAAUAGUAGGGCUGGCAAACCGGUGGCCGGCCGGCGAUCCGGCCGAGGGGAUGGGGAGCAUCGACGGCCACUCGCUGCAGCAGCAUCAGGGGUACUCCCACGGCGGCGGCGCGGGAGGGAGCAACGAGGAGGAGGAGGCGUCGCCGCCGCCCGGCGGUGGCUCGGCUACGGGGUCGGCGGGCCGCCGGCCGAGGGGGAGGCCGCCGGGCUCCAAGAACAAGCCGAAGCCGCCCGUCGUGGUGACGCGGGAGAGCCCCAACGCGAUGCGUUCCCACGUGCUGGAGAUCGCCAGCGGCGCCGACAUCGUCGAGGCCAUCGCGGGCUUCUCCCGCCGCAGGCAGCGCGGCGUCUCCGUGCUCAGCGGGAGCGGCGCCGUCACCAACGUCACGCUCCGGCAGCCCGCGGGGACUGGGGCCGCCGCCGUCGCGCUGCGGGGGAGGUUCGAGAUAUUGUCCAUGUCUGGCGCCUUCCUCCCGGCGCCGGCGCCGCCAGGGGCCACGGGGCUCGCCGUGUACCUCGCCGGCGGGCAGGGGCAGGUGGUGGGUGGGAGCGUCAUGGGGGAGCUGAUCGCGUCGGGCCCCGUCAUGGUGAUCGCGGCCACGUUCGGCAACGCCACGUACGAGAGGCUGCCGCUGGACCAGGAAGGCGAGGAGGGCGCCGUGCUGUCCGGGUCGGAGGGCGCCGCCGCGCAGAUGGAGCAGCAGAGCAGCGGAGGCGCCGUCGUGCCCCCGCCGAUGUACGCCGCCGUCCAGCAGACGCCGCCGCACGACAUGUUCGGGCAGUGGGGGCAUGCAGCGGUGGCUCGGCCGCCGCCGACAUCGUUCUAGCACUGGCACCGGUUAAUCAAUGUCUCUCUACCUAGCUAGUUAGCCUUCCACUUCUUUCCCUAGUUGUUUGAGUAGGUUAAUUAAUCAUUUACCAUGUUAAUUAAUGUGCUAUGUAAUGCAUAAGUACUCGUGUGAUCUUAUCGUUCCAUUUUCUUCAGAGUUUGAAGAAUGUAAAAUUACUGUGCGUAUCAAGAUCGGCAGUGGUUGCUCACUUGCUCCUUCACUAGCUAUCUGCUCGAUCAUAAGCUCUUGCAUCUUGUUCUUCGCAAGCACCAAUUCACGCUUGUGUCAAUUGCUUGGUCAUUUUGCAUACUUUGGACUACUCGAUCACUACAAAAUAUUUCUUGAGUUUUACUCCCUGCAUGCACUGCUCAAUGCGUGAUUAUGCCUGAAUACACUAAUUGUUUUGUUAGAAUUGUGCAUACAUAGCUAUGCUUAAUUGGAUGUGUUCUUUGUACAUGCAUGCAUGGUUUUGCUUAAACUUUCCUAAUUAUACCUCAAUUCAAAUCCUAGCUAGGUUCACCCAGAGUCUAAUUGUAUAUUUCAGCAUAUUCUAAUGUUUUGUUCUUUUAAAAUUCUAGCUUGCUCGGUAUGUUUAUUUAUGUUUCGGUUUGGUAGAAAAAGUUCAGUUGAUUUUGGCAAAUCAAUUAUUCCCUCCGUUGCUAUAUUUUGGGAUGGAUGGAGUAAUUUAAUUUCUAGUUUAGUAAGCUUCGUCUUGAUUAUUCUCUCUCUCUCUUGUCGCACAAACACUCGCACAUACAGAUGAAUUCUUUGGUUUUGACUUCUUAAUGCCGCACUACAACGAAACUCAUGCAUGAUUGUCUAAUCCGGGCAUGCGAAUGGCUAUCGAUUGCACUACGGUAGAGAGUAACAACCUGACAGAUUUUCAUGUUAAGUGCGUUACGUUGUCCAGAUUCAAUUCAUGCGUCACACACCUAAAUGCAAACCCAAGCAUGCUAACCUUACUAUGGAAUUUAUGAGUAGACAAGUGCAGUACAACUCAAUUUGCCAUUUGUGAUAGUAGUGUGUGUAUAUUUGGUAGUGCAUGCAUGUCUUAGCAUGACACUAAAAAGGGAGUGACAAUUCCAUGGUCAGCAAUAUUCCGGCUGCUGGGAAUCAAAGUUAAUUUGCAUUCCUGUCUGCCCUCCAAAUUAAAACACUUUCAUGCAUAAUUCCAUUCUAUCAAGAAUAACCCACACUAACACAGACUAAUGCUCACCCAUCUUUUCAUUGUCUUCUUUUGUCCCAAAUUAGUUCGGUUGGGCAGGAAAAAAAAUGCUCUCGUCACAGAACAAACACUGCAAAGUUAGCUGUGACUUGUCAGUGCCGAUUUGAAGAAGCAUGGAGCCAUGGCGAGACGGCGACACGGUGACACUGUGCCUGGGCCCUACGGGACACUGCCGGGUGAGAUGAUACUCCCUCCGUUUCAAAAUGUUUGACACCGUUGACUUUUUAGCAUAUGUUUGACCAUUCGUCUUAUUCAAAAACUUUUGUAAAAUAUGUAAAAUUAUAUGCCUACAUAAAAAUAUAUUUAACAAUGAAUUAAAUGAUAUGAAAAGAAUUAAUAAUUACUUAAAUUUUUUGAAUAAGACGAACGGUCAAACAUAUGCUAAAAAGUCAACGGCGUCAAACAUUUCGAAACGGAGGGAGUAUAUACGAAGAGACGAGGUGAGGUGAGGUGAAACGAAAUGAUGAUGGAGGUGGUGUCUAGGUAGUGUUUGUGCGUGUAUCUACACGCUCCGACCCCCACGAAACGAAAGGGAUCUUCUUUGCUCAUUACCCAUCUUUGGAUGCCCAGAGUACAUACCAUAUGUGUCAUCUCUGUCACGCCAGAACGCUGUGGAGACGAACCUUCAUGUACAAAACAAACUUAUUCGCUCUGAAUUGCCGCCCUACUUUCUUCUUGCUAGGGACACGAGAGUGGGCGCGACUGUGGUAGUAUGCGUGGAUGGGCGAAUGGCAAAAACGUUGGGUUUUGAUUUCAAGUGUGCCGGUGGUGGGGGUGAGUCUCCGGGAAGGAAUUGGGAUGCGAUGGUGUAUUGUGCUAUACAAAGUUGGCGAUCGAUGCCGCCCUGUCGUGUUGACAAGCCCCUUGGUCGUUGAGAGAGCUAGCUAUCCUCUGGAGUGCAAGCAUGCGUUCACAUCCGACUUGACGUCGUGCCGGCCGGGCCCUCCUCCCCGCCACGGCAAAGCCAGGGAUUGAGGUAGCGAGCGCCGCGCGGUGAUAUCGGUGUGUGGUAGGUGCAACGCGCGCGAGGCCGUUUCCGCCGUUGUUUUUUUUUUUCCCACCGGAGCGCAGUGUACGUACGCGCGCGGGCGCCUAGCUCCCACGCGUCGGGACGCGGAGGCGAGCGAGGCGCGGGGGCGGGGGGACGGUGGGUGGAGCGGUGGACCGCGCGCGGACGCGGACGCGCGGGCGGGCGGGGCGGGCCCGUACGAGCGAUUGCCCCGCGUGCGUAUGGCCACGCACAGGCCCGACCUCCCCACGUGGAGGCAGUCGCGUCAUUUAAGCCACGGGACUAUUUGCCGUCGCCCAGCGCAGCGUGCGUGCACGCGCCGUGCAUGCAUAGUAGGGUAAGCGAGUGCAUGGGGGCAGCUGGUGAACCAUCUGUGUGCCGUUUCCUUUCGGCUUUCGGCCGGCGAUCCGGUCGCACUUUGCGGGCACCGAUUCGUCCUACGUUGGGCAGAAGAAAGGUUCAGAUUUCAGCCACUACAGCUACAAGUGGUAAACUUGCACUACUGUCCGCUGAGAAGCAGGGACUGUAGUGGCGAGAGGAGUGGUGGUAGAGUACAAGCUGGUCAGGGAGACUUCAUCUCCGUAUGGCGAAAUUUCAUAUCGCAUAAGUCUAACCUGCUCCCCGCCUCUCCCAUCCGUAACAACGAGGAGGAAUAGAGAAAGCCAUCACCGGUAGCCAAUAAGUCUAACCAACUUGCGCUGCUAAAAGGAAGACGGCGACAACGACGGCCGGCGCGUAGGGCAGUGGCACAUACUCGCCCAGAGGCCACGGCACGUGUGUCGCCGGCGCGACGCGGCCAUGCAAGUGGCGCGACUUAUAGGGCGCGCCACAGUGGCCGCGUGACCGCGGCGAUCGGCUAUAACAGUGAGCCGGAUUAAUUGAGAUCGACUAUAUAUCUAUCUCUUUCUCUCUCUCGAUCAGGGUCUCUCCGGACAACCAAAUCCCGGAGACGUUUUGACGGCGACGUCGCUGCCGUCCGACGAGCCGGGCGGCGCCGGUGUGCGCGGUAUGAUGCCCUAUUGCCCUGCAUGACCGCAUGCGGCAUGCUUGUCCAGAUCUGAGUGGCGGCAAUCAUAACAGUUUCGCAACGCCGCGGCCAAAAAUAGGACCGGGAUUGCAAGAUGCGGAGCAAUCACGGGGACGUGCAAUCAUUCGGCGCUCGGCGACGCAGUCACCUGACUGAUUGCGUGUAGGAAGCAAUCACGAGAAACCACUAUAGGCCGGCGCGGGAAACGGGAGUGCAAAUUGGUAAGAGGCCUAGAAGGCUAACAACUAAAACAACGGAUCGAGUAAAGGAGGCUCCACUAAUCCUUUCCAACCUGAAAGUGUUAAGCUGAUUCUCCCGGGGAGAAAAAAGUAGUAGUUGAAACUUGAAAGCGUUGCAAGAAAAAUCCGGGCGCAUAAGACAGAAAAAAUGCAGGUAGGGUGAAUUAAGGUCUUGGAUGAGGACGACUAAACGAACCAUGAGUGAUGACAGUAAUUUAAUUCAAGCGAUAGGACUGUAAAAUCAGUAAAUGACAAACCAGGCCAUAAAUACAUGGAAAGGAUAAGGAUGGACCAAUGAAGCAUUAAGAGGGGAGCAAAUGACUUUGUGGACAUCAAAAUUUGGGGGGAAUGUUUUGUUCCUUCACAUAUUAUUGUGCACUUGACCAUCGGUUUUCGAACGUAAAAUAUUAUCGGCUUUACCUCGCCAAAAGAAUUUUAUUUACGCUGUGGUAAAAUUUCGCUAGUUGUCAGUCAUAUUCCUAUAUGCCAGUUCUUCCCUCCGUGCCUUAUUUCUGACGAUAUCAGUGAAUCUGUGAUUGAUCUUGAAGGGAUUAUCCUCCUCGCAAAGAUUUCUCGGAAGCCACUAUCAUGGCGCCUCUAGAGUGGUGAUAUACUUGCUGUACACAGAGGGCGAGCUAGACGCCUAGACCGUGCGUCAAACUCAGCUUUUAAACGGUUAAGCGGAGCGUUUUGCACAAAAGUACUUUUUAUAUAAAAGCUUCUUUAAAAAUCAAAUAAAUAUAUUUUAAAAUUUAUAAUAAUUGAUAUUUUAAACUCCCUGCCGACGAAUGAUUCGAGUAAAUUUAUAAUAAUUAAUAUUUUAAACUCCCUGCCGGCGAAUGAUUUGAGUUGUUUCGCAUGGCGCUAAAACUCCCAGCUGAAACUUAGCCGACGUACGAACAUGUUGGGGAAUAUAUAACACAAAAUAAACCCAAAUAAGCCAAUGGGGAAUACGACUUGUUCGGUUAUUCUCAACUCUGAAGAAAGACAAACCAAAAACACAUUGCUCAAAUAUGUUGGGUUAUUUAAUAGCCACAAAGUUGCUCGAGUUUAUUUCACUUAACGAAAUUGUUACAGGCAGUAUAUUAGUGCGUAAUGAUCCGACAAGGUCCUAAAAUAGGCAAAUAAUCGAAUAAGCUAAGUGGUAAUACUGCUACUAUUGUGCAGUACAACAAAUGCAACCGAUGGAAAAUUCACCUACCAACGAAAAGCCAAAUGCACGGGAAAACAAUACUGGAUCUAUCCAUAUGACUAUGACAGUAAGUUACGACCAUAAGCAACAAAAGACUGCAAGCAGAAAAACAAACGAGAACAAUCUUAUAAAAGAAAAUGAAAGAACACCGGUGCUAAAAAUAAAAGUAAAAGUUUUGCAGAUAAAUAACAUUGCAUAAAAUCCAUAAAAAAAAUAUUCAUGAAAUAAUAACAGCAACUCUUCAAAAACGACGUGACUGGUUGACAAAGAAAUUGGAUUAAAUAAAGUAACAAAACCUACACCAAAAUCAGAAUAUAAGAUCAAAUUCGUCAGGUGAAUUCGGAAAAGCGGCAUGCUGUAUCCAACCGAUGAGCAAUAAAUAUCUGCCCGUAUGCCAUCUUAUGACAUUGCAUACUGCAAGCAAAAAUUGUGCUCAGAUUACUCCUGGACACUUAUCAAAUUUGCUUUGUGCAAACAAUGGAGCAUUAUCUAAAACAUGAAAUGUGAGUAAAUUCGCAACUCAAAUAUAACGAUUUGCUCCAUGCUGGAACCGCAAAAUAAGAGGGCAAGAUGAAGUGUUCUCUCAACAGUACAAAACAUUUGCUUAUGGGCGUUCCGUCUGGUCUCAACAACAGUGCACCCUAAGCAAGCAUCAGAGAAAUACAUACAUAUUUUCAUUACUUGAUCAGAACCAAGUCAUGAAGGGAGUAACACAAACCUCAAGCCAAGAAUCAGUAACUUUAAACAGGUACUCUGAUACUAUUCACAACAUCAAAGAGGUUACCAACUUGGUUGUUGUUGAGGUGUGGAUUAAAUCACCCUGAGGAACAUAAAAAGCUUGUGCACAUGGUGCUAAUCUGCCAAUAAUCCAGAUUUAAAUUAACAAAGCGGUUCAUUUUAAAUUAAGGUGCACACUGAAAACAAAAUGAACAUGUUACCAUUCUAAAAGCAAACCUCAUAGCACCAGUAACACUUCCUCAAUCGUCAUUGCAAGACAUGAUUACUAAUUCACCUUAUCUAAAGCUUUUCCAUAAUCUUCAGUACACAUCCAAUACCAGGUUUCAAUACAAUAAUCAUCUACGGAGUACUAACUAGCCCAAUUUGCACAAUUAAUUCAUGUAGUAUAUAAAUACAAUAAAUAAUUUAACUAUGUAUUUUUCGGUUAUAUUUUUUAAAAACAAAUUGCUCCUAGUAAAUUCAUCUGACAGAUACUACAACAGCAGAUUAUGAGAAAUAUAUUGUCACUAAUUGAGAUUAAUGUUAAUAACAACUGGGAGCACAAGAUAACAUAAAUAUUUCCUUCUCAGUAUUAUGGUUGUACAGACUUAUAAAAGCAAACAUUACCAGAUAACUAGCAGCUAAGCCUGAAUACAGCUGCAUCAAGCAAACAGCUCAGGAAUCCUCAAUUACUCAGGUCAACUGCCACGUAAACAUACAGAACAUUAAAUAGGAGUCAUAUAAGCACACUUCCAGAACAUGAUAUAAGCAAAAGAAAAGUUUUUAAAAGAUGUAAAUGCAUAGCAAGAGAUUCCUCAGCCUAGUGGUUGAUGGCUUUCUUUGCUCUAAGAGAUUCCAGAGCCUUCUCGCGAAGCUCAAUUUCAAGUUUCUGCUGAUCCGAUUCGUCUCUUCCAUUAUAUGAACCUUUCUUCCUAGCAUCAGCAUCUGAGUCAGAUUCACGAUCCUUCUCAAGAUCUGAAGCCAUAUCAACAGUUUCAGCAUGCUUCAGUUUUAGUUUGCUGGCCUGACGGUCUGCCUUUCUACGGUGCCGCUCUUCACGUCUGCGCCGUCUUUCCUCUUUUCGCAACCUCUUCUCUUCCUUUCUCCUCCUCUUGGACUCUUUGUCAUCUGACUCCGAAUUAGAUUCAUCAGAACUGUCAUCAUAACGUCUCUUAUGCUUACGGCUCUUUUUAUGCUUUCGCUUCUCAGAAUGGGAUCUAUGUUUCCCUGAUUCUUCUGAACCUGAACUGCCAGAAUCAAUGUUGUUAUUACCGUGUGCUUUUCUCUUAUCUUUUCGAAAAGGACUUCCAUCUUCUGACUCAGAAUCAUCAUCGAUUUUAGCAGGAUACUUCUUAGAAGCCAUACCGUCACGUAAACCCUUUAUUGCAUCCUCACUGUUCAUGCCAUCCUUUGAAUAAGAGUUGUGCAUUCCAACUCUACUAGGAGUGUGCUGUUUCUGUUGGGAAUCAUCAGGAGAAUCAACCGUGUGUUUCGUUCUUCUACCAUCACGCUCAUCUUCUGAUGACUCUGACAGUUGAUUGUUCUGUUUCCUCCUUGUCUCCUUGCCACUAGAACAGAAAACAGUGUCAUGCUAGCUGAGGAAAAAGAAAUGGUGCUUCUGACAGUUAUAGCUAGAUGAUACAAAAUGAACAGAGUAGGUAUUGGUAAUUGGUCUAUUAGUUGACAUUACAGUCAUUAGGUUCUCAAUCUGUCCGUAACAAUUGACACCACUACCAUUAUAGUGUGUACUUUGGUAAGUAAAAACAAUCAGCUAAAUGCUUUCCUACCAAGAUUUAAAAUGGCAAUUCCAGUAUGCAUCCAUGGACUUUGUCUAGAAAUAACCAGUACAUGAAUAAGAAAAGAGAAACACACUGAAGUGCUCCAGGCAAAUAGGAAAAGUGCUACCUCAUGAACAGUGCUAAGAAAAAAUGCUCAUACCAAGAAAAAAAAAUGAAAGGGGGUAAAAUUAAAGAAAACUAAGAAGCAAUUUCAUUUGACAACCAAAAUGCAGCAAAGAAGCUUACCUAUGUUGUGAUGGAGAUUUUUCUCCAGGGCUCAAAUCAUCAUGUGCUUUCUUUAGUUCCAGAUCUGCUGAGAAAUCCUUAAUUUUUCUGCGUGAUGAAUUUGCUUUUCGUGCAUUCUCUCUGAACAUAAACAAAAGAACCGUUUAUAUCAACAAUAAGAAACUCAAACAACCCUUUUGAAAGAAGGGAUAGGUAGAAUGGAGACUACCUUGCACGACUGCCCUCCUCUUCUCCACUGCUAUCUGUUCUGACCUGACUGGGCAAGUGCUUAUCAGUGCCCUUCAAAGAACUGCCAAAAAAGAUGGCCAAGCCUUCAGUAUGCACAUUUGAUCACAAAUAUGUGGAGAAGAAAUGAAAGAAAUAAAUAAAUCGAUACGGACGAGUAGAUACCUAUCGCGUGUCGAGUUCCUUUCUGGCUUGUUUGGAGAAUUCAAGGAUUUUGUCAGCUUACGAUGCUCAGAAUCCGAUGAAAGAUGGCCACUCACUUCUGUAUCAUUCCUAUUGUCAUCGUGUGAUCUUUCUUUGUUCCUGAUGUAACAGAAGUAAGAGAACAGCUUUUCUGAAUAAUUGUACUGAAAGACAAACAAAAUAUGCCAUGCACAUUACCUUUGAAGCACAUCUACAUCGUUACUGGAGGGAAUGCCGUUUGUUCCUUUUUCAAUGUCUCUACUCAAGCUCCUGCGAGAAUGGAUUGGGCUCCUAUCGUGUGGACUGGUACUCCUUUUAAACAUCAGCAUAAAUAAUCGAAUCAGAAAAUAAUUACAUGCAGGAAGACUACAAUAGGUGCACAGCAAAUUCAAUUGCUCGGUACCUCCUUCGUUGUGGAGAGGGCCGACGGUUUGCAGAACGACUUCUGGGUGAAAUUGGCGAUCUCCUAGGGCGUUUUGGUGACCUCAACCGCGGAGAGCCUCGAGGAGAGGGGGAUCUUCGUCUUCCUGGAGAUCGUGACCUUGGCCUGCGUCUACCCGGAGAUGGAGACCGUGGCCUACGUCUUCCUGGUGAAGGGGACCGUGGCCUACGUCUUCCUGGUGAAGGGGACCGUGGCCUACGUCGUCCGGGUGAAGGGGACCGUGGCCUACGUCGUCCGGGUGAAGGGGACCGAGGCCUACGUCUUCCUGGAGAUGGAGACCAAUGCCUGUCUAGAGAUGACCUGCGCCGAGGAGAUCUAUGACGUGCAGGAGAUGGUGAUCUUGGUGCACGACCUGGAGACCGGCGAUGGUGUGGAGAUGGUGAUCUCUGACGCACAAAAGGUGGAGAUUUCCUGCGAAUAUGAGAUCUACGAUGAGGUGACGGAGAUCGAUGUCUUGGUACUGAAGGUGAUCUUCUGGAAUACGGUGAUCUCCGCCUCGACAUCGAAGGGGUACUUCUUGGAGAACGCUUUCGUGGAGAAAAAGAACGCCUAGGUGAAACUGAGCGCCUUGAAGAUCGUUGCUGUCUCCCAAAAGAAAUGGAAUUUCUGGAAGGAGAUGGAGAACGCCUCCUAGGAGAAACAGAUCGCCGCCUACCGCGAGGCGACAAGGAGAUGCUCCUGGACCUAAGGCUUUCCCUGAAAUGAGAAGUCCAAUAACAUUGCCAUCACAAAUUUGUUUUGGUGGAAUCAGCUUCUUGCCAUGUACAUGUGUAACUAGAACAACAGUCAAGUGAGGUCAUGGAUGAAUUACAGGCUCUUAAUCCAGUGUUCAGGGUCCAAAAAGUUUAGUCCUACUAAUUUGCUGCUUAAAAAAAGUGAGUGCAAGAAAGAGUGUUGAUUCUUUUUCUAUCAAGGGUUUGUCAGCCUUAGAAUUUCAAUUUUGAUUUUUCAUAAAAAGAUUCAACAAAAAGAAAUGCUAAAAAAAAACAGCUGGUCGUUUAGGGUCAAAAACAAAAUCACCAAAUGAUUUGUGAUCAGGGAACCUUAAAAAAGGCAGACCAAAAUGAAAGAAUUGUGCACAAAAAGUUUCAAAUUAUUGUAACUUCAAGUGUUCCAUAAACAAGAAAAUACUAACUUUAGAAUCAUGUUGAAUCCAGAAAAUCUUUAUGAGCAUAUUCUAAAAUUCAAAUACAACGAAGAACAAACAACGGAUCAAACUUAAUGCAGAAAAUAAUGACAAGCUAAACAUAUGUAUGACUGGUAAAUCUUUAAGAUGGAAAAUAAAGGCACUCCGUAACAGAAAAAGUGGAAUCCAAGAUGUGGUUGUUCUCUGAGAAUUUGAUCUGAUGUCACGGAUUUAAAGGUAGUUCCAGUUUAAGAAGGUAGAACUAACCGGCUCUUUGUUCUUGAGCUAUGCUUAGAAUCCAGUUCUUUUUCCUCCUCAGCAUCAGCACGAUCAGGACCUAAUCUAGAAUUACCGGCAUCCCCGUCCUACAGCAGUUUUGAGGUAAAGAACGAUAUGAACCCAAAUAAUCGGAGAAGCUAUCUGAAUGUCAUCAGAAACACAAGAGGUUACAAGACAACCCGAAAAUUAACAGCAUAACAAAAUUGGUCAGAAUGAAUUAGCUCACCAUCAAUUUUUGUUUCUCUAGUUCUUGCUCCCUUCCAUCUUUCUCCCGUUUCUUCUGGAUCUCCUGAGCAAUUCUACUUUCCUCUGCCUGCGCAUAAGCCCAAGGAAGUUAAUGGGUAAGCAUCCCCUUUAAUGAAAUUAAGCCGCAAUAAAGCACAAAGAUAGUAACAACACCAUGAGGUAUAAAGUGUAUUCCAGUUUCACAGGAUAAACGGAUAAAUCCUAAAGGCUACAAGAAAUUUUGCCGUUUCCAUAAAUCACAUAUAAAAAGUUAUCAAAAACAAAUAGGACCUGUAAGAACAAAAAUAAUAAUAAUAUGCCACAAAUAGGAUCAAUUAUUAUUCCAUAUUCCGUGACAAAGAAAAACAGAAAGGGUAAUUUAAAACUUCUAGCUUGCAUUCUCUCCCUCGAGUUCUUACCAAAAAAAACUUUCAUUGUUUUUGGUAAGUCAUAUGGAUUCAUCAAAAACAGAUGAUCUAAAACAUGCACCCAAAUAUAGCGAUAAUGCAGUAUAUACUUAUGUUAACCUUUUUCUGCUGAAUCUCAGCUUCCUUUGCAUCUAAAAACUGUUGGGGCACCCCACUAGCAUUCUGUUGUGCACUGAGUAGGAGGCUCCACAGCUCCUUCAUGAACUUCACUGUGUUCUUCUCCAUGAAUCCUGUCAGCUGUAUCUGUAUCUUCUUUCCAUCCGCCUCCUGCCAAACAAACAGAAAUUGAAACCAAAACCGUAUUAGCCCCACCUUCUAAUAUCUUGUACAGAAACCCACAAACGUUAAGCACUAAACAAACACAAAACAUAAUUACUGGUUUCUUGAGUUUUGGUUUUGACCAAAAACUAGCCUAGAGCAGACAAAAAAAAAUUCAACAACAUGCAAAAAUGACUGCCGAAAGAAUAUGCUAUCUAACCAUAAUUAACGGUACACACGACGCUGGUAUUGUUUUACAAAUUUGGGAAAAGUAUCCAAUAAUAAUCGAAAUUCCCAACAUUUUACCCAAAAAGACCGUUGUAAGGUUUUCAAUUUAGUUCCUGAACUCCAUGUAUAAUUUCAGUAUAAAUACUGAACUACACCAUGUAUUUGGUUUUCUGUCAUGUUCAGACAUACCCUCAUGUAUGAGGUUUAGCAAUUCAACGAGCCUAUCUUCGUCAAAUUCAAAAGCAGCCUACGUACCACGCGCAUAGUUCAACGAGGGCGUAACAAACCAACCUCCAUUGCUCAAGUCAAAUAAACAAUAUGUUUAAAAGCCUCACCUUCUCUUCGAGGAGGCCGUAGAUGAAGUUGAUGAGCACUUCGUCCUCGAACCCUAGGAGCUCGGUGACACGGGUCGCGAUCCAUGGUUUCAUCACAUCCAUCUUCACCUUAGUCAUGUCCACCUGUAACCAACCCAACAGAGAGAAAAAAAACAAACCUAAAUCAGAGUUUGCGUCGAAACAAACAGCUGGUAGCACAAACGACACGGCAACCAGCAGGUGCGUGAGCAGAUGAAGCACACUGACCAGGUGUUCAAGCUCGGGCGCGAACUUCUGCGUCUUGAGCAGCUUCGCCUGCUUGUUGGAGAAACGGGUGUCCUGAUCGGCCGACGUCCCCUGCGAAAACCCCACGGCGAAUCAGCGCCGCCUCUCACAGAUCCAGCGAGCGAGGGGCUACACGGCGAGGUGCUAGAUCGGUACGGAGGAUCGGAGCUACUUACCCGGAAGAAGCCGCCCGACAUCUUAGCAGGCGAUGCAGCGGCCUCCGCCGCCGCCGCCGCUUUGAGGGGGAAGAGGGGUGGCUAGGGUUUCGGCAAUUCGGCGUGGUGUGGGAAGAGUUGAAGACGACAAGUUGGGGGGGUGUCGCAAUUGGGAAGAAGGGCGCACCGGCCACGGGACGAAGUGAUGUAGCCGCCUUUAGCCCGAUCCAGAACGGUCACUUUUUGACGUGGGCCGAUGCCUCCGGACAAUGGGCUUCUUUCACAAGCGACACCGCCAGCGGGUAGAAUUAUACAACCAGGGCCUAGUUUUAGUUCCAAACUUUUUCUUCAAACUUCCAAUUUUUCCAUCAUAUUAAAUUUUUUCUACACACAUAAACUUCUAACUUUUCCAUCACAUUGUUCCAAUUUCAACCAAACUUCUAAUUUUGGCGUGAACUAAACACACCGCAGGUGAAACGCCGGACGUUACCAUGGGAGUUCACUACGAGAACAAUAACUAAAAAUAAUACUCUCUCCGUUUCAGGUUGUAAGACUUUCUAGCAUUAUCCACAUUCAUAUACUCCCUUCGUUUCACAAUGUAAGUCAUUCCAGCAUCUCUCAUAUUCAUAUUGCUGUAAUGACUUAUAUUGUGAAACGGAGGAAGUAGAUGUUAAUGAAUCUAGACACAUGUUAUAAGACUUUCUAGCAUUGUCCACACUGCUAGAAAGCCUUAUAACCUGAAAUAGAGGGAAUAUGUAAGAUAGUUUAAACAACAUAAGUUUAUAUAAGUUGAUAUGAUUUAAAUUUAAAUAGUCAUAAGUUUUCGAGCCAACUUUCAUUAUCCAUCUUAUUUGAAAUAAUUUUAAAAACAAUAUUUUUGUUGUUAUUAGGCGAUAAAACAUGAAUAUCAUUUUAUAUGUGAUUUGUGUUUUUAUUGUUUUCAAAAAAAAUAAAUAAGACAAACGGUUAAAGUUGAACUUGGAAACUCAUAACUACGAAGAGAGUACUCGAAAAUUCAUGUUGAUUGGCGUGCCAUAUAUUUUAUAGUCCGCAUGUAGCGUUUUUGGCUUAUUUGAAACUUGGUUAGUUUCCAUGAUUUUAUUUGACAUUUAAGAUUUCUAUCAUAGACAUAGUGUACAAAUAUUUUCGUAAGUAUUGACCAUCUGAGUGAGAUUUGGGUGAUGGUCAUACAUUCGUACGACAUCACAAACAAGGUACUCCCUCUGUUUCAGGUUACAAAGACGUUUUGACUUUGGUCAAACUUAAACUAUUUCAAGUUUAACUAAAUUUAUAGAUAAAUAUAGAAAUAUUUAUAAUACUAAAUUAGUUUCAUCAAAUCAAUAUAUGAAUAUAUUUUCAUAAUAAAUUUAUCUCGAGUUGAAAAUGUUACUACUUUUUUCUACAAACUUGGUCAAACUUAAAUCAGUUUGACUUUGACUAAAGUCAAAACGUCUUAUAACCUGAAACGGAGAGAGUAGUAUUUUAUUGAGUAAAUUUCACAGAACUAUAGGUGCUCUGAUCAAAUUAUUAGAAAACUACAAAUUUAACAUGAUGCAUCACAAAACUACAGAUUUAACACUAAAUUCAUCACAAAACUACAGAUUUAAGGUGAAAUGUUACAAAACUACAUAUUUAGUAACAAAGUUAUCACAAAACUACAUGUUUAAUGAUAAUUUAAUCACAAAACUUGAAAAAUUAUAAGUCCAACAUAACAUUAGUGCUCAAAAUUUAAACCCUAAAAUAUGUAGUUUUGUGAUAAUUUUAUUAUUGAAUUUGUAGUUUUGCGAUACUUAGCUUUAAACUUGUAGUUUUGUGAUAAAUUUAUUAUUAAAUCUGUAGUUCUAUGCUACAUCAUUUAAAAUCUGUAGUUUUUUUGAUAAUUUGAUCAAAUUAUCUGUAAGUUUUAUGAAAUUUACUCUAUUUUAUUUUUCAAUUUAUCAGUUUUUAGAACACAUGAAAAAAUGAUUGUGUUAUACUUUCUAUGUUUUUUUACGUGAAACUUUAUUUAGGAGAUUUCCCAUAUUCUAAUAGAAAUAUGUUCUAUAAAUCAUCAUAUAGAAAUUUAAUAUUUGUCUAAACAAAAAAAAAAUCUGAAUAUUUUGUCUUGUCUCUUCACAAUGUUUUACAGCUUCUUCUUUUGAAAAUGGGUAUGUCGUUGAACCGCUUGCUAGUUAAGCCACAUAUGUGAUGUAAAAUUCAUACAUUUAGUACUUCAAACAAUAUAUUUUAUAGCCUCUUAACAAUAUUUUAAUUUUCGGUGUGGCAUGUAUAAUACAUUAAAGUGAGAUUUGUUUUAACAUAAACACUCAGAAACCCUAGUGUUUCUUUUUUUCUUCUAUCCAUAUUAUUUAGUGUGUCUUUUGUUGUAAUACCAUAAUUGAACAAAAACGGUUCUAUCGCUUAACAAACCCGCGAUAAAAUAUGUGGCAAUGUUUGUUUAUAUAUUGUCAAAUAUCAUUAUUUUUCAAUUGUUCAUUAUCUUUUUACUCCUAGUGUUCUUUAUUUUUCAUAUAUUCACUUGUUUCUCCCAUAAUGGUAGUAUUUUUUUUACAAAAAAUAAUUUGUUGCCUUUUUUUUUCUAGCGACACAAAAUGUGCAAAUCCCCGCGUGCAGAACGCGAAGGGUGAGAAUGGCACCGGCGGCCAGGGCUAUCGCCAAGUGGACUGUGCAUGCUUUGGCUUAAUUUAUUUUUGUUUUUUUAGAUAAUGGAUUUUCAUUAAUCCGGCCUCUAUAUUCACGAGGGAUAUACAUAACCAGAAUGAUACAAGAGCGCUUAGACUCAUGCCUCAUUAAAGAGGAGAACACACACAAAAAAAAAGACGAUCUUGACACAUCCCUAUUUCUUGACAUCCUCAAUUGAAACGAUUAUAUUCGAUGAGUGGAGGUCAUGUAGCUUGUGCGUUGUCGCUACAAAACUCCGCUGGUGUCAUCUUCAUCCGCUUCAAGUGAGUUGAUGCCACGUUCCGCUAGUAAGCCCACCUCAUCUGUCAUCAUCCAAUCAGAACUAGCCAACCAGACGCGAGCUAAAGGAUCCGCUUCCACUUCACUGGAUUCCUAUGCCUCCGCCACCUACAGGGCUGCCACCGAUGUCGAAAUCCACCUCUGCCUCUCAAACACCCAGGCCUCCGCCGCCGACGGGAUCUGCCUUCGUCUGAUCCGCCUCCUCCUCACCGAGAUCCUUGCACCGACACUUAGGCUGUUGCUGCCUCUAGGGCAACCUCCGCCACAGCCGAGGAGGCGCUUCUGCCUACGAACCACCUCCGUCGGAUCCGCCUUCUCCAUGCAGAGGGCUGGUUGUCGAUGUCCUCCGCUGCCGCAGUUCUCUGUCGCACCCACCGUCGGCGUCCUCCGCAGCGCCCACCACCUCCCGAAGAAACGCCGCCGCCGACGGCUCACCGCUACCUGCUACGGCACCAAUCUCCCGACCACCUCCGCUACCGCCCGCGCCAGGCGCUAGCCCACUACCGCUGCCCACAGCCCCUACUUUCUCCGGCGUUAGUGCCGCUAGAUCUGGGGGCAAACCACAUACCUGACUCGCCCGUCCAUCGCAAGUCCCGUCGGAGUCCUGCCGUCGCCUUCCUCGCAGUCGCACGUCACACUGGCGGCCUGCUUGGGCGGCAGCAAGGCAACAACGAGGAGAUGAUAAGUCGAGGAGAUGAAGAGUCGGGGGAGACGAGGAGAUGAUAUGAUCUGGUACAUCGGCUUAAUUUAAUUUUGUGAUGUACGGUGAGCUGUUUUGUUUCCUCAAAUGAAUAAUCUAGAUUUAUCUACCAAUAGAGAACUGACACGUGGACCAAUCAUUGCCAACAAACACAGCAAGCAUCAGAAUGAUAGGUAUGUACAUUACCCAAGUUAGCACAUAUUUUACAGUGAUGCCUAAUUACAUGAAACAUGUGAAUGUCUCGGACAAAAUGUGUAACAUGUGAAAUACUACUAUGAUAAUUUAAUGUGCAAGUUUCCUAACCACACACAAAUGGGAUUCAAAAACAAAAUAUUUGCGAUAUUUUGACUUAUCAAUCCGCUCCAUGUUUUCUACCCGAUCAACCUUCUCAUUCAUCAUUGAUGAGCUUGGUGAAGUCCGAAUUAAAAUUCAAGGAUAGGUGAGGGAGUGGAGAGAGGAGUAUGCGGGAAGCAUAGUAAGAACAUACCGGUAGAGAAGGUAGUUAGCAAGGGCGGAGCUGAUAGCAGGGGCAAGUUACCAAAGACGGAAUUGAUACAGCGGAUGGGACAAUGUAGAGGAUCGGUAAAGAUCACAGGAGAAUGAAAAGGGAAGUAACAUGAUCCAACAAGCCUUGUCGGUUUGGGGCCGAUGCCACGGAUGAUGCUAGGUGGAGAGGCGUGGCGGAGAUUGGAUUGGGUGGAGAGAGGAGGUGAUGAUGGUGAGGGGAGGGAUUGAGAAGAAGAGGAGACACAAUAUAUGGUAAAAAUAUAGAGUAAUCUAGACAAUUCCAUGAAUCCAAUGGUCACAAAUUCAUACUUACAUGAUUUUCAAUAGACAUGUCCUACCCUUGAAUAAACAUAUGUACAUUACCACGUAUUUACAGUGGUAUCAUAUUGUUUUUUCUCGCUGGGAUGCAAGAACAUUUAGCUAGCUAGCACACAGUGUCACUCUUCAAAUCAUAACAAAAAAAAUUGUCCUGCGGUGUAUCCAUAAUGGUGGAUACAAAUGCUUUAUGCUUAUAUACCAUGCCAAUAUACCGGGCAGUAGAGCGCCAGACCCAACAGUCUAGUCGUCGUCGUCCCAAUCGGCCGGACGGCGUCGCUCAUCGUCGUACCAGCAAACGCAGCUGAGCCCGAUGAGCACCUCGACGAUGACAUUCUCUGCCUUGUGCCGGUCGGCGAAGUGCAGCGUCUGCACCAUCAGCACGCGCGGCCGCAUGCUGAACCGCUGCGCCCGCUCCAUGCUAUGCUCGUCGUGCCACCGCACCGUGUCGUGCGCCAUAGGCCCCAACCACCGCAGCAUCCUGUCCACCGCGUCCAUCGACGCCGCCGCCGCAGCCUCGUCCACUGGCUGCCCUCUCCAGCUCUCUCUCAGCUUCGCCUUCACGGCCGUGCGGAUGGUCACAGGCAGCAUCUUGUACAGCUCGUCUCUCUUCGAGAGAUCCAUCCCGGCGUCCACCUCGUUGCUGUGGAUCGUUGGCCAAAGUUGCCUGAGCAGCAUCUCGGCGCACACGAUCAUGUUCGCGUAUCGCAGCUCCAUCCCCGAGCCGCCAACCGUGCUCGCCGGGGGCUUGAUGGACUCCGACGCUGAAAAGGCGGUGUCUUUCUGCCGAAAGAUGGGAGCCGAGUGCCGGAUCGCCGCGGCCGGUGACGCCGCCUGCUGUAAGGGGCCAGACGUGCGGCGGAGCGCCCACGCGCGACCUACUGUCAAAAGCGGCAAGCCCGGCACGUACGCACCGAAUGUUAUUGAGAUGCGCGCGAGCACGGCGAGCACCGACUUGGCCAUGAGCUUGGAUACCUUGUGCGCGGCGACACUCCAGAGCGAGCUCUCCAUGAGUCGGCGCACCUUCUGCCGCUGCGAGUUGAGCUCGCGUAUCAGCUUCUCGCCAGGUUCGGGGACCUGCCUCUUGGCCGAUGGCCCCGGCUGCGCCGGGAUCGGCCCGCUAUGCCUCAUCCACUGCUCCAUCCGCCGCUCCGACGCCUCCAGCUCGCUGAGCGCGUCCAUCUCCGCGUACAGCUUCGCCGUCGCAGCCACGUGCCGCUCCAUCUUCCUGAACCGCUUCGCCGCGCCCCUGUAGAACCCAACCGUCGCGUCCAGCCGCGCGAGGCCGUUCCCGCGCUUCGCCUCGGCGUAGACGCGGUCGAAAUCGUGCAGGAACGGCGCGCCCGCGCAGCACCGCGCCCCGAGGCGCGCGGCAGUGCCGGCGGCAUGGUCGAGGUCCGCCACGAACUCGCCGCACGCGAGCCGGAGCAGGAGCGACUGGUCCGUGGACGUGACGCGCGCGACGCCCUCGGCGCGCAGCGCGUCCGCGCGGAGCCUCCUGACCUCCACGUCAGACAGCGAGCGGUGGAGCGACACGAGCCGCGACAUGGCCGCCGCCGCCUCGAACGCCAGGAUCCCGAGACCCGCCUCCUCCCUGGCGCCGCCACCGAACCGCGCGCGCAGGUCGGCGAGCCAUGACCUCGCCCCCGCGGGCAUGCCAAAACCUCACACCCGACACGGCACCACUUUACUUACCAAGCUCAAGAACACAAGGAAAUACUAUCAAAUAACACCCAACGUAACGAGCAGCCGCGCAGCAGAUCAAAUAUCAUCAGUAUGAAAUCGAGACAGGAUUGUUCAUGCGGAUUACGCGUCUAAACAGCGAAGGAGCAGAACCAGCACGCGACCGGACGGUAUCCAAGCAGGAUUAGCCAUUAGGAGAAGAAAUACGUGUGCUCGGCAGCGCGACCCGGAGCGGGUCAAGAGAGGCGAAGUCGUCCACGCAGCCGGCAAAUCACGAGAGGCCAUGUGCACGGUCUACCCGUCCACCGAGCCAGCCGUCCACUUCGAUCUCCCACUGGCCACCACCACCACUAGCUAGACAUGUCAACGUGCCAUGGAAUUCCUCCCAUCCUCUCGACCCAACCGGGCGGGCGCUGCACGGCCGGAGACUUGCCUCGGGGAAGUCUUGCAUCGACGGCGACGCCUGUCGACUGUCGUCUCUUCCCGCUGGGACACGACCGAUCUACGUAGGAUCGCGAGAUGAGAACGCGCGAGCGUAAGGCGCCGCUGCUGCAACGCCGCUCGCUUAGUUUCCACAUGUGUCGACAUGUCGAUCACCUGUCGUGGGUAAUUGCACGAGAGAGAUACUGGACGUCCUUCUCAUUCUCAAUUUCUCACUCGAUUAAUACGUGUGUUUUGAACAGGUAGCAAGACCUCCAAUACCAUCCUUGUUCCCAUCUGAAACAGUAAUUACAUAAAACGGUACGGUGCAUUAACGCGUGAUAAAUUAAGUAUUAGCCAUUUUUAAAAAAAAUGGAUUAAUUUAAUUUUUUUAAACAACUUUCGUAUAGAAACUUUUUUAAAAAAAUGUACCAUUUAGCGGUUUGAAAAAAAGCGUGCGCACGGAAAAUAAAUAAGAGGGGUUGGGAACGCACCCGAGUGCCUGAUCUCCACGGAUGUAAUCUAUGGCUCAUUCAUUGCUCAAUUACGAUCCGUUUGCUGCAAAUGCACACCGCCUGAUUCUGCUCAGCUAUAUCGUAUACACGUAUCCCAAACAAGGUUACACCGUAUACGUAUGAUUAGAAGGUACGUAUAUACGUAAGGCUGUGUGCCUGUGUCCAUCGAUCGCCUCUACAUUGCGAUCAGAUGCCACUACUCUGUAGUAUUAUUGCCACGUACAUAUAGGUACGCGUCGUGUUGUCAUCGAUGGCGCAAUGCACGCCAAUGCGACUAGCUAGGAAUAUAUAAGACGGUGUACUAACCAACCAAUGCUGCUGCCGUGCUGCGUCAUUGCGAAUGGGUGGAGGAGACCAAAGGAGACUCCGCGAUCGAGCAAAUUAAAGCUGCGUCACGUGGAAACCACCCGGGCAUACGCAUGCAAUGAUUAUACACCAUCGAUCGAUCGAUCGAUCACUCGCACAAAAAGAAGUUAAAAGUGCCGCCCACUUUUGACCGCACCACUGUCCAAUGCACGUACCGCGCGCGGCGCGACGCUAGGGCAUGUACCAUAUCUAAACACGACUCCCUAAAUCUAUAACUAAUAUAAAUAUUUAAAUUUUUUCUAUCGUCACAAGUCGGACGAAGGGUGCCUUCGUCCCUCGCGGUGCGCCUUCGUCCGCAGCCCCUGAAUCCCAAUCCCUCUCAGAAUUGGAUACAAGAGAAACAAUUUCCAAAAUCGGCACAACCAAAUCACUCAGCUACAAUAAUCACAAAAUCACAAAAUAAACAUCCAAGAAGAACUACAAUAUACAUCACAAUCACAAAACUACAUCACAAAAUUUCACUCGCCUGCCGCCGGAUCCAACCUUGACCGUCGCCACUGCCGCCCUCAGCCGUCGCCACGAUAUCCAUCCAUGGCCGUCGCCACCGCCACCGGAGGGAGAAGAGAGGCGGCGGAGGAGGGAGCCUCCGCCGCUGGAUCCGCCCGCUGCCGCCGGAUCCGCUCGCGGCUGCCGCCGCCGCCGCCACCGCCGCCGGAGGAAGGCGAGAGGGGGCGGAGGGAGCCGCCGCCGCUGGAUCGACCGGCGCAUUAGGUGGCGGCGGGGAGGAUGGCGAGGCGGCGCAGCUCCGGAGCCUUUCCUCCCGCUGGAUCUGGUGGUGGGAGGGCACCUCUGGGCGGCCGCCGCUCUUCCCACUACUGCCGCGGAGGGGAGGGCGCAGCCAUCGCUGCCGAUGCUGCCUCCUGCCGCCGCUGGGCCGCACCGUCUCCACCUGCCGCCGCCACCCCUCUUGCGCCGCCGCCUGCCGCCUCGGCUACGAGAGAGAGGAGAGCGAGAGAGAAGACCGAGAGGAGGAGGGCGCCGUGCGAGGGGGAGGGGAAGCGGCGCACUGGUGAGGGGAGAGGGGAGGGCGUCGCUGGCUGCGACGGCAGUGGAGAAAACACCGAGAAAGAGGAAAAUGAAGGGAGGAGAGAGAGAGGAUAAGGGAAGUCGGGAAAAACGAGAAGAUGAGGAGAUGGAAGGAUCGAGGCGCCGCUUGCUCCGCUUGCUCGCUCGGGGAUAAGGAUUAGGUCUGGCGGGCCUUAUAUCUUUUUUUUAAAAAAAAUGAGCACUCUGUAUUUGAGAAAAAAACAGCACAAGUAUGCCAUAUAACCGGCACAUAUAGAGAUUUAUAGAGUUGGUUUUUAAUUUUUGUUCGGUUUUAAGUCUAAUGGGCCUUUCUUUUAUAACUUUUUUAUUUCUAUAAGAAAUAUAUUUUUUAAAGGGCUCAUAUCAUAAAAACUAAAUCCUAACGAUCUAAUAUUUUUUAUAUUUUUGAUAAUUUUAGUUUACCCGUUGCAACACACAAGCAUCUAUUUAUUAAAAAAUUUUAAAUAAUAAAAUUUUCUUGACCUGUUCUUGUCCGCUCUUUUUUUAUUAUGUUUUUUUUUUAUUUUUUCCCCUCACCAUCUAAUCUUCUUUCAUUUCUUUUUAAUGUCUACUUAUUAAUAUUUGACCUCAAAUACAAUUUGUAAAUAAAAAACAAUACUCACUCUCACAAAAUUAAUAAGACUGUUUUUUACGAUUUGUUGAACUCCACACAUAGGUAACAAUACACAAGUAUAUUCCCACUAUUGCAAAGUGGGUAUAGUUUAACUGGAUAGGUUUCUUGUGGUGGAACCAGUCAAUCUGGAUUCAAAUCUUUGAUUUGACACGGGUGCUCGAGGCGUUCAUGGUUACUUCGUCAAUCUCAAUACUCGUGUUGUGAGCGCGUUUGCACUUUGUGUUUCUAAAUAUAUAUAUAUAUAUAUAUAUAUAUAUAUAUAUAUAUAUAUAUAUAUAUAUAUAUAUAUUCUCGCAAUUCAAAGUACAUUGAGUACAAAAAUUCCACUCAUGUUCUACAUAAAAAAUAAAUAUUUUUGUUCAUGAUACCAAUUUUCAUCUGUCGCCUUUUCGGCAAAGACAAUCAUAUUAUUCGUCCAUCCAUUUUCUCCCGUGCUACAAAUCAUCCAAACUAAACAUCAUUUCUACAAAUAUAGAGCAGAUUAUUUAUCUAAAAGCAAACAAUUUUUUUGAGUAGAUUAGUUGUCUAAACCAAACAACACUAUUUUCACUAUACACACUACGUAAUCACCCAGUGCAACGCACGAGUAUUUUUGCUAGUAUCAUCUAUAAAUUAUGAGAUGAGGCGAGAAGAGAAAAGAGAGAAUAAGUCACCUCUCAUACAAGCAUCAAUCUCUUUACAAACUUAAGGAAAUAGAAAAAAAAAGGUUGAUUGGAUGAGAGUGGAUAAAAUAAAAUAAUUAUGUUACAUUAGGGCUAGUGUAUUAAAUGCGAUGUGGUGUAUGAGAUGGCCGCUAAUAAAUUAGGUGGUGUUUGGAUCCAGAGACUAAACUUUAGUCCUUGUCACAUCGGAUGUUUGGACACUAAUUUGGAGUAUUAAACAUAUACUAAUAAUAAAAAUAAUUGCAUAAAUGAGAGCUAAUUCGCGAGACGAAUUUUUUAAGCCUAAGUAAUCCAUAAUUAGCAAAUGUUUACUGUAGCAUCACAUAGGCUAAUUAUGAAUUAAUUAGGCUCAAUAGAUUCGUCUCGUGAAUUAGUCCAAGAUUAUAGAAUGGGUUUUUGUAAUUAGUCUAUGUUUAAUACUCCAAAUUAACGUCCCUACAUCCGAUGUGACAGGGUCUAAAAAUUUUAGCCCCAUCCAAAUAGGGUCUUAGUUGAUGAUGUGGAUAAUAUUUUAAAGAGGAACUUGUAAACCAUCGCCGGGAAGACGCCAUCGACGACAUGGAUGACAGAUGGGGAGGGAGCCACCUAGAUUCGCGCCGAUGCAGCUAAGGAUGCUCAUUGACGGUCGAAGAAGAAGAGCAGGCGAUGACGGCUAGGGAGGAAGCCGCCUUGAUCCACAUUGGCGUUAACGGCUAGAGACGAGCGCUGACGGCCGAAGAAGGAGAGGAUGCGGCGGCUGGGGAGGGACCCACAGAUCUGUGCCGACAACGACAGUUAGAGAGGGAGCUGUCUCAAUUCGUGCUAACGAUGGUGCCGGGGACGCGCACCGGCUGCUGAAGUAAAGGAUGUGGCAAAGAGGACAAAGCCGCUCAGAUCCGCACUGACGACGACGGCUAAGAGCAAGGCUAAUAAUACAGCCAGCUGCUGACGGUAUAGAUCUUUAUAGCCUAUCUCUCAGCUCACUCAUAUAGUGAUUAACUCUUCCUAUAAAUAUAUGGUUCACCUGUCUGUCUCACAUAUUUUUAUUUUGGUUCUUGUGUCUAAGGCGGCUGUAAGUUUACAACCCAUUUCUUAUCUCUCUCCUCUCCUCUUUUAUCUACAUCAGCAUUUAGCCUUCUUGCAGCCCUCUAUUAUUCUUGCUCUAAGGCGGAAGCCGCCUCGAUUCGUGCGGACGAUGACGGCCGGGGGGAAGCCUCAAUCCACGCCGAUUACGUUGAUCGUGCCUGGUUUGGAGUCUUUCGUCUGUCGUGCUAGUUUUAGGUCAAGGUCAAUUGCCCGUUUGUAUUGCCAGAGUGGAGCGCUUGGAGACGAGCACACUGCGAGACCGUUGCAACUCGCCAAGGAGUUUUGGUCGCAACGUCGUGUACAAAAAGAGAGUCAAUAUAGUAAGACAAGAUUAGUUUCUUGAUCAUGAUUAGGGCAUGGGGCCCAAACCAUUGGAGGAGAAAAGAAGAUAAAUGGGAGCUAUGUGGGUUUUUCUUUCCCUUUACUUUUUCAUGAGGAAAGCCCUUCGUACAAAACAAAAGCUUGACAAGGGUCCUUCAUAGGGUGUAUUCAAUUCACACCAAAAUUAGAAGUUUAGUUAAAAUUGAAACGAUGUGACGGAAAAGUUGGAAGUCUGUGUGUGUAGAAAAAUUUUGAUGUGAUGGAAAAAUUGAAAGUUUGAAGAAAAAUUUUGCAACUAAACACGGCCUGGUAUAUUGUACGCGCCUACUGAACCUGUGGGCCAAAAGGACUGCUUCAUUGCAUGGGCCUUUAUGGCCAGAUUGACCACGGCGUAAUGAAAUUGGGCAAAGCAGAGCAUAUACAACUGCACGACCACCGUAACGUGGAUGAUGAUAGCCAUCAUGAUGCGACGAUAAUAGUUGUGAGGACCAUAUUAGACGAUAAUGUACUCUUGCUGUGCAUGAUUAUACGCUUGGGUUCAAUAACGAAUGUUGGUGUUAUCUGUAUUUGGCUGUAGCCCUACUUCAUUUGAUAAUCUGUCCGUUCGGCACCAUUAUUAUCGUUUGAUAAGGCGUGAGCGGAGGACCAUUAAGCUCGCUCCUGUAUCAUCAUGUGAUGAUGUCCCUAAUACUCGACGAAAGCGCUGCAAAAAGAAAAAUCCGAUGAAAAAUUAGGCUGCUUUUGAGAGUUGAACAAAGAAAAAAAACAUCAUGUUUUUACGCGCACACUUACCUAACUACUAAAAUAUGUAUUUUUUAAAGUGAAGUUGUGGAUUAGCCUAAAACCAGCUCUACUUUUAUUUUAGUUGAAGGUGAAACGGUUUGGUUGGACUACAAGAGUGAUACAGCUAGAGCUAGAGUUGUGCUAGAUAAACCAUUGGUAAUUUUCACCGACUCAACCAAUAAAAGUUACAGCACCGUGAUUCUGUGAAGGAGCAGUAACCUGCAGUCGUGACCGGAGCAGCAAGAUCGCAGCCGCCGACCGCGAGUGACGGCGAGGGCUUUUUCCCCGUGACCUCACCUGAUGAGCGUGCGGAGCAGAGGCAGCACAGCAGAGACGACGAGUCGGACAUGACACGUUCAGGCUCAUUUCCACCCGUCACGGGCAAAUCGUGGCGCCCACGGAAGGAAAAGGGAAAAAAAAGAAAAGAAAAGAGAAAGGAAACGAGGAAAAAGAAAAAGGCGAAAGGGGAGAAGGCCCCCGUACAUCUCACGCUCAGUCGCUCACUUGCUUACAUAUCUCUCGCUCACUUGCUUGCUUGCUUACGUCUCUCUCGCACACUCCCACUAUUCUCCUGCUCCUCCUCCCUGAUCUUCCCUCUCUCGCUGCCGCUCCUCUUCUCGCCGGCCGCCUCAGCCUGCGGCGAGCUCUUCGUCCAGCCAGUGCACCCGAGGUACGCGCCGUGCUGCACGCGUCGCCCCCCGCGGGGUUUCGUUCGCCGUCGCUCGAUUUUGGUUCUCGCGUACGAUUUCCAUCCCUUUUUCGAGCUGCCGGGCUGAUGAAGGGAUCUGGGGGUGGUGGUGGCUCCUCGCUGCUCUUGGGUUUAUCUUGUGGUUUCCGGCAUUACUCGUGCUUGAUCUGCGUGGCUGGAGCUGGAUUCGGGGAGUGGGAAGGGGAUCUUGGGGUGGAUGGCGUUUGAGCUUAGGCAUUUCUUCCCCUGGCCGAAUCGUUGCGGUUUUUGGAGUCACCAUGGGAAAUUGGGGCGUAAUUAAGCAAGGCUUUUGUGGAUAAAUGAUUUUAAUCUAGUAAUUUUGAGCUAUAUUCCUCUGCAAGUUUUGGAGCUCACUCCUAUGUUUUUUUAAAAAAAGAAAAAUUACCCUGUAUUUUUCCUGGUGAUCUCCUCCUCCGUCCCGUACUGCAAUUAACUAUGCUUGGAUGAUUAGAUCCUUACUGCGUGUAAUUUCUCGUCCAGGAGCUUAGGCCGGAUCCUGGGAUCCGUAGGAGAAACCUUGCUCGGGUUCCGGAGAAUGUGACCGGAGCAACCGCGGCUUCAAAUCAGAAAAGGCUACAGCAGGGGAGCAACAGGGGCGGUGGUGGCGCGCGGCAGCAGCAGCACCAGGCCGGCCAAUGGCGCAGUUGCCAUCAAUGCUGCCGCGCCGGCGGUUGGCUCGGCGCCGGCGGAGGUGGCCAGAUUCCACUCCCAACCACCACAACAGGAUAGGGUAUAUGGCUCUAUAUGCUCUGUGUUCUUUCUCAUGGAAUAACUUAUUAUGCUUUAACUUCAAUCUUUUGUGUUGCUUUUUUGGUACGUGGAUUAGUACGUGCAAUUGCUAGGCCUUGGCGACCUUAGAUGGGCACAGACCUUUUUCGUAGUACUGAGUACGAACUGUACUGGCCUGGUGGUGGUUGCAACUUUGCAAUUGGGGCAUCUGUACCCCCCAAAUAAUUUUUCUACCCCCAAAUAAUUAGGGUUUAGUAUGCAUUAACUACUUGCUUUAUUAUGUGAACAAUUUGUUUAAUUAGCCUUUACUUUAUGUUAGUUGGUGUUGAAUUGCAUGCACUUUGCAAGUUUCCUUCGCUCUGUAAUCUUUGCCUAGACCCCACAACAUUUUCUCUGAAUAGCAUCGUAUGGACCGUUUUGUCAACCUCUUUUUUCACAUAUACUAUAGACAUAGCUCAUGGAUCUUGCCUUAGAUAUGCAUAGAGUUGAAAUUGGGAGUUGGGAGCAAAAUAUCUUUUCUCUUUGGCUGUAUUGGAUGAUACAAGUAUAAACUCACUGUAGCAUUCUAUGUUAUUUGGUCGUUUGAGGACAAAUUGAGGUUCCUGCCAAUUACAUGGUAUGAUGAAAACAUUGUCUAACUUUUGUUAACCACACACUUUUAUGCUUAUUUGUUGUUACAUCAAGUUCACUGUAAGUGUUGUUUCCAUGGUUAAGAAUUAGCUAGUAAUAUUCUUUGUCUAUACAGAUCAUAAAAAGUGGAGAAAAGUUAAAUUGCUUUUGAAAUUAUAGCCUUCACACAGAUUAGCACGCUAUUUCUUAACUCUUAUUCAUUACUGAAGUUGACUUUAGUAUCUUCAUAAAAAUCAAACUGGAUGACUUUUAUUUCUGUUUCUUGCAACAACUAAUAAUUUUAGAUGUUCUAAUACAUGUCUCUCUACAUUUAACAGCAGAGUAGAUGGGCUGGCUGUUUUUCUGCCUUGUCAUGUUUUGGAUCACAGAAGGGUGGAAAACGAAUAGUUCCUGCAGCACGUAUACCUGAUGGCAAUGCGUCAACUAGUCGUGGAAAUGCACACCAAUCUGGUAGCAAUUCCAACCAAAAUGUGGCUCUGAAUUUAUCUCUUCUUGCUCCACCAUCUUCUCCGGCGUCCUUCUCAAAUUCUGCAAUUCCUUCAACUGCCCAGUCACCUAAUCGCUUCUUGUCAAUAUCUGCAAACUCUCCUGGUGGGCCAACAUCUAAUAUGUUCGCUGUUGGGCCGUAUGCUAACGAGCCUCAGCUUGUCUCACCUCCAGUCUUCUCAACUUACACAACUGAGCCUUCCACAGCACCACUGACCCCUCCACCUGAACUAACUCAUGCAACUACUCCCUCCUCUCCAGAUGUUCCAUAUGCUCGGUUUCUUUUUUCAGCUAUGGAUCUUAAAACUGCUGGCAAGGAUCACAACAUGCCGUACUUAUCUACAGCAUAUUCCGGAGGUUCAGGACUCCAGGCAUCUUAUCCGCUUUACCCAGAAAGCCCUUCUAGCAGCCUCAUAUCGCCUGCUUCAGCAACUCCAAGGACUGGUCUUUCAUCACCUAUCCCUGAGCAAGAGGUGCCUACUGCACAUUGGAAGACAUCUAGGUCCGCCUGUGACACACCAUAUUCCAGGGCUUCACCAAUACCUGAGCAAGAGGUCCCUACGGCACAGUGGAAGACGUCUAGGUCUGCCUGUGACACACCAUAUUCCAGGAAUUCACCGUCCAAUAUUUUUGGGCUUGAUUC
rnacentral:lncRNA from 1 species